CAUUUUGCUCCCAUUCCUCCCCCUGGUAGCAUUAAACCAAAACCUGCUGGCCCCGGAACAGGCGACGCUGGAAGCGGUCAACCUGUUAGCCCAGGACCCGGCGAUGCGGGAGGUGGUCCAAAACCUGGUGGUCCUGGAACCGGUGAAAACGGAGCCGGCACUAAACCUAGUGGUCCCGGAACCGGUGAAAACGGAGCCGGCACUAAACCUGGUGACCUUGGAACCGGGGCAGAUGGAGAAGGUACUAAACCUGGUGGCUCUGGAACCGGCGAAGACGGAGCCGGUACUAAACCUGGUGGUCCUGGAACCGGUGAAAACGGAGCCGGCACUAAACCUAGUGGUCCCGGAACCGGUGAAAACGGAGCCGGCACUAAACCUGGUGACCUUGGAACCGGGGCAGAUGGAGAAGGUACUAAACCUGGUGGCUCUGGAACCGACGAAGACGGAGCCGGUACUAAACCUGGUGGCCUUGAGACAGGAGAAGACGGAGCUGGUACUAAACCUGUUGGCUCUGGAACUGGCAACGAUGGAGGCGGUCCUAGACCUGUUAUCCCUGGAAAGAUGGGACCCCUUGGUGGUGACAAGGGAAAUGAAUUCGACGAUGUUGGUUUUGAUGGUGUGAAGAAAAUAACUGUGGGAGCAGAUGAAUUCAGUAUAACUUAUAUCAAGAUCGAAUACAGUAAGGACGGAAAAGUUGAAAUACGUGAGCACGGGACAAGCCGCGGGCAACUAAAAGAGGUAUAAAACAUUUUGGUUCUUGUUUAUAGGAUAAUUAAUAUUUAAUGGUUUUGCUAAUAAAUUGUUUGAUUUUUGUGGAAAAUACAAUAUAGUUUUCGGUGGAUUAUCCAAAUGAUAACAUCGUGGCCGUUGGUGGAAGCUACAAUCAUAUUUUCACAUAUGAUACAACGCUUAUCACAUCGCUAUACUUCACAACCUCCAGGGGUUUUACCUCUCCAUUAUUCGGUGAGAAGACGGGAACAGAUUUCGAGUUCCAAGGUGAAAAUAGAGGAAAACUUCUCGGGUUCCAUGGACGUGCUGGUUUUGCUAUUGAUGCCAUCGGAGCUUACUUCCACACUGGUUCACAAGGUGGCCAGGGAGGUGGUCCUAGACCUGUUGUCCCCGGAAAGAUAGGACCCUUAGGUGGUGCCAAGGGAAAUGAAUUUGAUGAUGUUGGUUUUGAUGGUGUGAAGAAAGUAACUGUGGGAGCAGAUGAAUUCAGUGUAACUUAUCUCAAGAUCGAAUACAUAAAGGACGGAAAAGUUGAGAUACGUGAACACGGGACAAAUCGCGGGCAACUAAAAGAGGUAUAAAACAUUGUGAUUAUUUUUUUUACGAUAAUAUUCAUUGGGUUUGCUAAUAAAUUGUUUGAUUUUUAUGGAAAAUAAAAUACAGUUCUCGGUGGAUUAUCCAAAUGAUAACAUCGUGGCCGUUGGUGGAAGCUACAAUCAUAUUUUCACAUAUGAUACAACGCUUAUCACAUCGCUAUACUUCACAACCUCCAGGGGUUUUACCUCUCCAUUAUUCGGUGAGAAGAAGGGAACAGAUUUCGAGUUCCAAGGUGAAAAUAGAGGAAAGCUUCUCGGGUUCCAUGGACGUGCUGGCUAUGCUAUUGAUGCCAUCGGAGCUUACUUCCACACCGGUUCACAAGGCGGUGAGGGAGGUGGUCCUAAACCUGUAGUACCCGUAAAGAUGGGACCCCUAGGUGGUGACAGGGGAAACGAAUUCAACGAUGUUGGUUUCGAUGGUGUGAAGAAAGUAGCUGUGGCAGCUGAUGAAUUCAGUGUAAGAUCGAGUACGUAAAGGAUGGAAAAGUUGAAAUCCGUGAGCACGGGACAAGUCGAGGGCAAGUAAAAGAGGUAUUAAUUAAAUAUUUUGGUGACUUCUGUUAAAUAUUGAAUAUUUUUUGCUACAUAUUUAUUUGUUUCUAAUGAAAAACUUACAUACAGUUUUCGGUGGAUCAUCCAAAUGAUAACUUCACGGCCGUUGGUGGAAGCUACGAUCAUAUUUUCACAUAUGAUACAACACUUAUCACAUCAUUAUACCUCACAACCUCAAGAGGAUUUACCUCUCCUUUAUUCGGUGAGAUGAAGGGAACAGAAUUCGAGUUCAAAGGUGAAAAUGGAGGAAAGCUUAUUGGAUUCCAUGGACGUGCUGGUCAUGCUAUUGAUGCUAUUGGGGCCUACUUCGACACUGGUUCUAAACCGGGGGGCGACUCAAACAGUGGAAAAGGAACUGACAGCGGUUCUAGUACUAAAGACAGUGGAAAAGGAACUGACAGCGGUUCUAGUACUAAAGACAGUGGAAAAGGAUCUGACAGCGGUUCUAGUACUCAAGACAGUGGAAAAGGAUCUGACAGCGGUUCUAGUACUCAAAGACUGGAGGCACAAGGAGGCAAGGGAGGCAAUCAAUGGGAUGACGGAGGCGAUUACGACGGUGUGACAAAGAUACAUGUUGCAGUUGGUCGAUGGAUUGAGGAAAUCAGCUUCGAGUAUGUCAAGAACGGACAGACAAAGAAAGGACCCGCACGUGGUGUGAGGGGAAGGAGAUCUACCAUUGGAACGGUAUUAUGUUUCUAUUCUUUUCUAAGAAUAUUUUCUAUCAAAACACAUUAUCUAGAGCUUACUGAAAAUUUUCAUAUUGGGUUUCUCAUGAUCAUGCAGUUUGAGAUAAGUCAUCCCAACGAGUAUCUUAUUUCCGUGAAGGGUUGGUCAGAUUCAUCCAACAAAAUUGCGGGAAUUCAAUUCAAAACCAACACAAAGACUUCAAAGUAUUAUGGAUUUGAAAAAAUUCCUGGAGACGAAAGUACAGACAUUUUACUUGAAGUGAAAGACAAGAAGAUCGUCGGUUUUCAUGGCUUCGCGGACUCUCACGUCAAUGCUCUUGGAGCUUAUAUUGCUCCAGCAGCCAACUGAAAACUUUGUUGGGGUUUGUUUCUUGCUUUCCGUGUGAAUAAAGUUACCUCAGAGUCAUACUUGUGGAUUUGUCACUUCGAGGUGGCAUGGGCUAUGCUUUUUGUUUGUGUCUCAGUGUAAUUUUUGUGUGUUCAGUGUGAUGUUUGUGUAGUCACUUGUAGGGUUCUUUCUUGAUUUUCUUAUGAAUAAAGGAUGUGUCUGUUUAUUUUCAUUUGGAUUAUUUUUUUUCGUUUUUUUUUUGUAAAAAAAUAAAUGAUCUUUUCCCUUCUUUUUUUAUUGAAAAUUUUCAAAACAUACCAGAGCCAGGUUUUUUUUUUCGUUGAAUCAUGUGAAGACUAGAUAAAGGGUUUGCCUUUUAAACCAGAACUAGAUGGACCGCCCGCACGCAUGUGCGGACAUUAACAUUAAUAUUAAAUUGAUAAUUACUUAUUUACAACUAUAUAAUACUUAUGUUACAUGUACAUAGUUAAUAUGAAAGAUUCGAUGUUCAAUUAAAAUAUUUAUACUAUGAUCAUAUGAACAAAGAAUACAUUAGAACGUUUAGAAAACGAUCACAUUUAACACUAAUCUUAAAACAUCAGAAAAAUAUAAUUGAGAAAAAAUAAAUAUUUCACGCAUAACCCCAAUAAAAAAAUCAGCCAUGAAAUAUAAAAGAGAGAUUUUGAAUUACUUGAGAUUUAUUAUCAUUGGAAUCAUUGUAACAACAGAGAUGAUUUACGGUUUCCUUCUCUAAGCCUUAAGUCAGAAAAGAGGUAAUUCUAACAAAGAUAUUUAAAGAUGUAAACAAUCCCCAAAAGAUAACAAAUUAUAUAAUUGAUAGGACAACGUCAAUGAGUUUCAAAGUUUUUAAACAGCUUUGAGAUUACCUUUGGCUCUCAGACGUACCGAAGAGGAUCACGCACAAUAAAUAAAUUGCACUUGAUUAGCAUACACAUCUUAUAUUAUAUUCUUGAUAAGUGAUUUAACUUUAUAAAAAAAAGAAUUACCUUUUUCGAAAGGGAUGAUCAGUUCCUGGAUAAACAGAGUCGUCUCUUUUUGUUAGUUGAAUCACUACUGAUGCAAAAAUAUAGAUAGAUAUACAACAUGGAGAGGAAGAGAACAAAAAAAAACGGAGAAGAAGAAUCUCCCAUAAAAUUACCAAUAAUGGUGUUCCCGUCUAUGAGUUACUUAUUGAUUAUCAUACACCUGCGCAAGAUCACAAAAGUAUAAUUUAAAUUAGAACGAUCAAAAACAUAUGAAAACUUAAAAGAUGGAUGCGUGAAACUAAUGGGGUGGCGUGAUAUUUAUAUAGCAAAUUAGUUUAAGUUUCUAAAUGACCUAGUUUUCAAGAGAAGCUAUGAGAUAAAAUAUCCUCUAAUAAAUUUUGAUUCAGCUAUAAGAUAGAAUAUCUUAAAAAAUUUAUUAGAAGAUAUUCUCGUUAUAAUAUAUACAUAAUUUUGGUAACUUAAAUCUUGCUAUAUAUAUAUUUAAAUAUUAAAUGCAUGAUAUUAUGAAAGAAUAUAUAUCGCCAGUUGAUUGCAACUGGUUUUUGAUAAAACAAAUCCCACUAUAAUGAUUUAAAUAAUAGUUAAUAAGGAAAGAAUAAGGAAUUUUGACGUUAAAACCCUUCAACUAAGUUUGUUUUGGAUAAAAAACCCCAAACUAAGUAUUUAACGGAAAAACCACAUAAACUAACUUUAUUUAAUGAUUUAAACUCUAACAGGUCAUAAUUACUAUUACUACCAGUAAAUAUUUAGUUUAGAGAUUAAAAUUGUUUCACUCAUAAGUUGGAUAACACACGCAUCUAAAAUUAGAAAUUGCUGCGACCAAACAAAGAAAUUGGAAGCAUCAAAACAACUAUUGUGAUCUUUUAAAAAGAGGAUAUACAUAUUUGGAAGCAUUUUUCAUAAAAAGUUGAGAUAAAUAGGAACACAUAGAAAUAUUAUAUUUGAUCCACUAAAGUUUUGUCUGUAUUUCUCUACAAAAAAAAUAAUUUAAAAUAUAAUGUACGUAGAUUUGAAAUGAUGAAAAUAAAACAACAGAAUUAAAAAUAUAUGUAAGAUAUUCAGUUUAUAUUUAAAAGACUUACCAAUAGUUUUGUAAAAUCGUUGAAUAUUCUGAUAUAUUGUGAUAAUAGUCUAUUUGCAUCAACUAAGUUGUUGAUACUCUUUCUCUUGGUAGGGUGUUAGGUUUUUGUUGUCUCUCCACAUCUUAUGAAAGAUGCAUCACAUCAUUUUUCGGGUAUAGUGUUAGGUAUUUCUGCAAACUUGCAACAGUUACAAAAACAAAGCAAAGUUUUGAAGAGUAACAUAAAAGAGAAACAAUAAGAGAAGAACUAAUGAUACCACUUGUUUUUAGAUUAUGUACGUUCUGCUCUUACACUCUGUUUGUUGUAAAGAGCGCUCCUUUGUUUUUUUCUUUGUAGUUUGAGAUUUUUGUUUUGCUUGAUUAUCUGUUGGCCUAAAUCGUUUUCUUGUUAAUGCCAAGUUUGUCUUCAGUCUUCUUCUUUCUCGUUUCUGUUUUUGUUCGUUCCAGAAAUGUACCUUACAGAAAAAUCUUUAUAUAUUUCAUUUUGUAAGUAUAUUUCAGAUUUUUCAUAUUUGGAAAAAGAGAUAACCUGAGGCUGAGUUCUUCUAAGGGAAACCUUGCAUGUGAGAGAGCGAGGCUUAAUAUACAGACACUACAUAUAAAAGAGUGAGAUCAUGAGAGACUGAGUAAGAAAAAAAAUAUGUUUGCGUGGAAGAUAAAACGUUGAAUAUAAACACAAUAUUUGUGAAUUUGAGUAGUCGAGAAAGUGUGUUUUUUCUUUCUUUUUGCGUGUGGAUCAAUAAGAUGGCAAAUAUAAAUGAUGGAUGAAUAACUGGAAUCUGGAGAUUGAUAAUUGGUGAUCGUGGAGUUGUUGGAGAGAAAUGGAUGAGCAAGUACUUUUUACAGUAAAUUUAGGAAACAAACACAUAAUUUAGUUGUGGAGAUCGUGCUUGCCAUUUAUUUUUUUCAAUAAUGAUUUUAUUGUUUUACAUAUAUUUUUAAUUUUUAAAAUAUAAAUCCAUGUGUCAAAAUCUGAUUGGUAAAGUGACUUGUGCUUUAGUAUAUAAGGGAUAAAUUUUCAAAAUACAUUUUAUAAAUUAAUGUAUAAGCUUCUAUAAAUGACUUAGAACCUCUUAUAAUAAUUUAAAACUUCUGAUUUUUAUAAAUGUAUUUAUAAUUUUAUAAAUGAUUUAUAAAGCAUGCAUUGAAUUAUUAGACAUUAAUAGUUAUUAUGAUACUUUAUAUACAAAUAUAAUUCUUUCUGUACGAAUAUAAAAUCAUUAUAUCAAUUCAAAUAUACACCUUUGUUUAUUAUUUUAUGUAAUUUAUAAAUAUACUAGUAUAUUACCCCGUGCUCUGCACGGAUCAAUUUUUAGUUGUUGGAGAGAAAUGGAUGAGCAAGUACUUUUUACAGUAAAUUUAGGAAACAAACACAUAAUUUAGUUGUGGAGAUCGUGCUUGCCAUUUAUUUUUUUCAAUAAUGAUUUUAUUGUUUUACAUAUAUUUUUAAUUUUUAAAAUAUAAAUCCAUGUGUCAAAAUCUGAUUGGUAAAGUGACUUGUGCUUUAGUAUAUAAGGGAUAAAUUUUCAAAAUACAUUUUAUAAAUUAAUGUAUAAGCUUCUAUAAAUGACUUAGAACCUCUUAUAAUAAUUUAAAACUUCUGAUUUUUAUAAAUGUAUUUAUAAUUUUAUAAAUGAUUUAUAAAGCAUGCAUUGAAUUAUUAGACAUUAAUAGUUAUUAUGAUACUUUAUAUACAAAUAUAAUUCUUUCUGUACGAAUAUAAAAUCAUUAUAUCAAUUCAAAUAAACACUUUUGUUUAUUAUUUUAUGUAAUUUAUAAAUAUACUAGUAUAUUACCCCGUGCUCUGCACGGAUCAAUUUUUGUUUGCAUAAAUUCUCUCUUUUCUCCUAAAUUUCAAUGUUUUUAUUAUGAAACAGAUUUUAUUCGAUUAAAAUUGUUUCACUCAUAAGUUGGAUAACACACGCAUCUAAAAUUAGAAAUUGCUGCGACCAAACAAAGAAAUUGGAAGCAUCAAAACAACUAUUGUGAUCUUUUAAAAAGAGGAUAUACAUAUUUGGAAGCAUUUUUCAUAAAAAGUUGAGAUAAAUAGGAACACAUAGAAAUAUUAUAUUUGAUCCACUAAAGUUUUGUCUGUAUUUCUCUACAAAAAAAAUAAUUUAAAAUAUAAUGUACGUAGAUUUGAAAUGAUGAAAAUAAAACAACAGAAUUAAAAAUAUAUGUAAGAUAUUCAGUUUAUAUUUAAAAGACUUACCAAUAGUUUUGUAAAAUCGUUGAAUAUUCUGAUAUAUUGUGAUAAUAGUCCAUUACCAUUACACAUUCUCACAUCCAAACCCAUCUUCGAUUCCUCCGAACUGUCUAAUAUCGAGGUGCCAUUGCAUGCCUUAUCAGGAACUGUCUCCGUUUCCAACUUUCCUGCUAAUCAUGUUUCAUAAUUCAUCUCAGACCUAUGUUUUCACUUAAAAAUCAUAUGUUCUUAAUAACAUUACUUUAAAUAUAUAUAUAAAUUAUAUCAUCUUGCUCUUGGUACACAUUUUUCUUGAGCAAGGUCUUGAUCAAUAUUGCUAACCGUGGUCGUAAACGUAUUUUUGGUUGGGAUACAUCUGGCUAUAACAAUCAAUAUCAGGUUGUACCUACAUAAUUAAUCAAGAAAGAAAUUAACUUUGUGAAGGAGGGAAACUAAAAGUGGCAAGAUACACCUUUUGUUGAGCCGAACAUGCAUACCUUGCUUCCUUAGAAACGGUUCCAUCUCAUGUGUGAACCGUUCUAGAAGACCUCCCUUCAGUUCAACCUGAUCAGUCAAUAGUACCAAAACAGUAUUGAUCAGUAAUGAAGAUUAACGCAAUCACGCUUGUAUGUUUAUCAAGCUGGCAAUAAUUUUAUUCACAAACCAUUUAUACUGCCACUCCUUCUAAAGUCAGAAUCUUCAUAAGCGUCAAAUAAGCUGUAAUGAUAACCAGAAGAAGCAUUUAGAAACAGUUAUAACAGUGAUACAUGAAAGGCAGGAGAGAGAUGGAUACAGUUUAAGCCUUUCACUGCUGUCUUCACAAAGCAAGAUGAGAAAAAGAGGUCUUAGAGAGAGAGAUGAUACCUUUCAACCUCUUCCUUUGGCAUAAGCAGUUCAUCAUCACCAUGAAGCAGCUGAAAUAAAAUUCCAAACAUAUGUAAAAACGCAACUGGCGAGAAAAGACCACGUAAUAUAAAACAACCAUUGUAAGAAGCAGAGUAAACAACCUUGGAGGCUUUAAAGAUGGCAUGAUGGACUUCAUCAGAAGUAGAACUGCAGAGAGCAAACUACAUCACUUUAUUUUAGGCGAGGAAGACUGAAUGUGACAUAUAUUAAUCUCACUUACAAUCAAGCAACCCCCAGCUAUUCAUAAUUACAAAAAAAAAAAAAAACAAAGAAACUCACCUUCCAUGGUGUCUAAACUGUUGUAUGAACUCCUUGAAUUUGAUAGUUUUCAUGUUUUUAAAAGAGAAAACAUGGACAGAGUUAUAUUCUUUGACAGUCUCUCUGAUGCCAUUAACAAUAGUCGUCUUGUGUCCCCUCUGCAAUAACAACAACAACAUUCAUCAAGUAAUUCGAUAGUAAAAGCAAAGGUUUAGGCUUUAUUCCAGAUGAUUCCUUUAAAAAUAGCACACAGCUUCCCAGCUCAGUAACAAAGAUGUUAUAGUUUCAAGAAACAGAAGUAUGAAAGAGAGGAGGAAGAAAGAUUUCAGACCUGAUUUGUCUUGCUUUCACUUAGGUAUGUCUUCUAGAGUUUCAGACUGAUGAAGUGAAAGUGAGAGAAACCAAAGUAGAGGGCUUUCCUAUGAAAUCGGAAAGUAUAAACUCUACAAAAAACUCGAAGCUGAUAAUGUGUUUUCUCCUCGCCGGCUUUCUUUACAUCAGUGAGCCUACAUAAUCUCAGGAGACGAACGUCAACGCCGGCGGCCUUCAAAUCACCGAGUAGCAGACUGGAGUUUGACAUUCUAGUUACUGAGAGAAUCAAAACCAAAGUGAUUAAAAGGAAUGAUCUGAUAUUUUUUCAGAAAGAAAACACAGAUAUUUAUAGUACCAGCUUCACACAAUUGAACUAAUGUUGCUAAUGUUGACAAUGCAUGAAUCGAGUCGAGUACCGUAACGGCGCCGGAAUUCCUUCCCGGGUUGAAGAACUCGAAUCGACAAAACAGUGACAACGGAUUCUAUCUGAUCUUGUAUUGAAUCAAUCGUAGCCCAUGAAACACUCGAUCUUCAUUGAUGGUUGGGAGAACUAUAGUUGUUAGUCGGCGAUUCAAUCCGUGUAAUGGCGAAAAACAAAAAGUGGAAAAAUCUGAUGGUUGAGAGGCUGUCGAGCAAGACAUACAAAACGCAGGCCCACAUCUUAUGCACACUUCGAUUAAUAAAACAGAGCGUUCAAUAAAAAGAACACGUGUUAACACAGGAAUUUUUGAAUUUGUCACCAGUUUCUUCGUCUCAGGCGCUUCAAAAGAAAUCGGAGGAUUGAAGAAUUCUUAUAAAAUCGAAAAUCCAGAAGCAAAAAAAACGAAUUGGAGAAGCUGUAAAGGAAACUUGAAGAAUCUAAUGAAUACAUUAAUAAUAAGGGAAGUCUAAGAGUGCUCUGUGAUUUUCUCAGUUCUAUGUUUUUAAGAAAGAAAUAAUGGUUGAAGUUAAUGGCGAAAUCACCCGAAGUGUGUGGAGCAGAAAAUGAAUUGUAGGAAGACACGUGUUGACACCAGAAGACCUGAAUUUCUUAGGUGGAAUCUGACGUGGAGGGCCCUGGAGAGAGAGAACUCUACUUUAUAUAUAUAGAUAUAUUCAUUUCACACAAAUAAACACAUGGUUCGAUAUCACCCUCGAAAUCAGAUUAAGAAGAAAAAGAAAGUUAGAAGCUUUUCAACCUUUUAAGAUUUCUCUCUCUCAAUAUAUGUUUGGAUAUUUCGGGUAACGUUUCGGGUAUCGGAUAUAAUCCAUCGGGUUCGGUUAUCCGGACAUACUCAUAUUAAAAGCCAUUCAUGUAUUUUUAUAUCACGGUUCAGUUUCGGUUGGAGUAUUUUUGUUUUGGGUUCGGAUUUGGGUAUCAAAUAAAAUGCUCAGGCUUGCCCAUUGAUACAAUCAAAUGUGUUACACUAUUUUUAUUACAUCUAUCUUAUUAAAAUAGAAGUACAUAUAAAAAUAAUUUUAAGACUUCUACUAUGCUCAGUUCUGUAAGUCUUCUGAAAAACUUCCAGAAAAUCUUCUCAUAUAGUUGAUCUUAAAAAUAAUUUAUGAAUUUUAUAAAAAGAUAUUGUUCUAGGGAAAAAAUUGAAUUCAUGUAAUUAUAAACAUUUUGGAAAUGAUAGAAAUUAAGAUAUAGUAAAAUUGAAUUGUUUUCAACAUAGGUGAGUGAAUGUAGAUUGAAUCAUGAUAUUCUAUGGUUUAGGGUUUGGUAGCAUAUGUCAUAGUAUUGUUUGUAUUUUAGAGUUAGAUUUUGGAAUCUUAACUUCUUUUUUUUUAAACUAAAUUUGACAUAUAUGUGUUUAGUUUUUUGUAUAUUAGAUACUUUAAAAGUUAAUUUUAAGCUUAGUGAAGUGUUAAUUUAUGUUUAGUUAGUUAUUUGAUUUUAGGGUUUAGGUUAGUUAAGUCUUCUUAUGAAUAAUUCACUAGAAGACUUUCCUAUCUUUUGGGAGAAUAGUAAAUUUAGGGAUUAAAAGAUUUUACGAAAGUCUUCUAUUAGAAGACUUCCCUAAAAGUCUUCUGAAUCGAAAAUAUUUAACAUAAUUGAAAACUUUUGUCUCACUUUAUAAAGAAAACUAGAUAUUGACCCGUGCACAUGCACACAUGUUUUUUAAUUUUACGUUUUUCAAAAUUUAUCAAACAUAAUUUUUGGUAACUAUUUUUAAUUCUUACCAAUAUUUUCUCGAUGUUUAACAUUGUUUUAAAGUUUAUGUGCAGAAAUUUUAUAAAUUGUUUUGAAAUGUUAAUUUUUAAAUUUUAUAUAUAUAUAUAUAUAUAUAUAUAUACAUAUUAUCUUGUUGGUUUAGCAUUGAAACGAUAGAAUAACUAUUUACACAAAUAAAUCAUUUUUAUUUGAAUUUACCGUCUGAUUUUAAAAGGUUCGGCAUUUUUUAAAAAAGCAAAAAUUGUUUUUGCAGACAUAUUUAGGUUGUUUGAUGAAUCUAAUUUGCUUUGAAGCUAUAUGAAUCUAAUGUGCUUUGUUAGUCUGACUCUGUAGGUUAAAAAGAAAAAUUAACAAAAUAUUAACCAAGCGUGAUUUACACGUUUAAAUAAAAAUAUAUAAGUAUCUCUUAAAUAAUUAAAAACCGUUCUUUUUUAUUUUAAUAGUGUAUAAUAUUUGUAGUUAAGAUUAGAGAUAUUUGAUGACAAUAUAAUAGCAUAUGAAUAAUGUGGUUUACUUUCUUGGAAUUUUUGUAUAUUUUGCAUUUUGAUAGAGGUCCAGAUAAAAUUAUAAAUCCAAGCAAUGAAAAUUAAUGUAUAUAUGAAAGUAAUAUUCCAUGAUUAGUUUAAGGAGUCUCGAGAUUUUAUUGAAUAUCUGAAUUAAUUUAUGCUUUAAUGCUGAUUACUUACUGUUAUUAAAUGAAAAUAAGACCAGUGACAUUUAAUUAUAAUUAUUGAGUAAAACUUUGGGUCAGAUUUUAUUUAUACUCCUACGAUCCUGUUUUAAUAGUUUAUUGUUUGCAUAAAUUCUCUCUUUUCUCCUAAAUUUCAAUGUUUUUAUUAUGAAACAGAUUUUAUUCGAUUAAAAUUGUUUCACUCAUAAGUUGGAUAACACACGCAUCUAAAAUUAGAAAUUGCUGCGACCAAACAAAGAAAUUGGAAGCAUCAAAACAACUAUUGUGAUCUUUUAAAAAGAGGAUAUACAUAUUUGGAAGCAUUUUUCAUAAAAAGUUGAGAUAAAUAGGAACACAUAGAAAUAUUAUAUUUGAUCCACUAAAGUUUUGUCUGUAUUUCUCUACAAAAAAAAUAAUUUAAAAUAUAAUGUACGUAGAUUUGAAAUGAUGAAAAUAAAACAACAGAAUUAAAAAUAUAUGUAAGAUAUUCAGUUUAUAUUUAAAAGACUUACCAAUAGUUUUGUAAAAUCGUUGAAUAUUCUGAUAUAUUGUGAUAAUAGUCUAUUUGCAUCAACAAAGUUGUUGAUACUCUUUCUCUUGGUAGGGUGUUAGGUUUUUGUUGUCUCUCCACAUCUUAUGAAAGAUGCAUCACAUCAUUUUUCCGGUACAGUGUUAGGUAUUUCUGCAAACUUGCAACGGUUGGUCGAUCAAUUUCAGACAUUUUACCUAUACUCAUGCGUUCGAUGCAUUCACUAUUAAUCUUCUCAUAAUACAGGUACCUAGCCAAGAUAUCUGUGUACGACAAUAAUGACCAGGCGGUUUUUAUGCUCCUUGGUGACUCUGGUCAUGAGCUGUCUGGGAAGAAGGCUUCUGAGUUGGUUGAGAGUUAUUUCGAGGUAGUUACAAACCUAUCUGGCUUUGUUAUUUAACUGUAUACUCCCAAGAUAUUUAAAAAUGUAUAGUGACAAUUGUUUAAAUGUAUGUUAGGCCAACGAGGAUGAAGGAUCUGAUAACUUGGUUCCGGUCCCUCAAGCUCUGAUUGAUACCAUAGGCCGGACUCGCAAGUUCAUUGUGAAGGUAUCAACCCACAAUUUGACUGGCAAGACCCAAACUUUGACUGUGACAAAGGUGCUCACUCCAGAAGACCCAGAUAUUGGAGUCAAUUUAGAAGAAUCUGAUGGUGAGAGGGUGAAAAGGGCUGCUGAAAACAUUGAGGGAGAAGAGCCCAAGAGAGCCAAAUGUGGCUAAGGUGUGAUUAGUGGUGGUUUUAUGGUUACUAAAACUCUAUGCUUCAUUUCUUUUCAUUUUCAGACCUUGGUUUUGCAACAUUGAACUUAUCUUUCUUAAAAUAACGAUGGUUACACUCAUUUUUAAUGUUUUUUCUUCAAGUUUGAUGUUUGGUUAUUUUACUUUUGUUAUAUCUGAUGCUUUUUCCAUCUUUGAUUGAGCCUUUAACUUUUAGUUUGCUUGCUUGAUUUUUUUCUUUCGAUACUCCCUUAAACAAAACAUGUUAUAACUGAGCCUCCACUUAAUCAUUUCUCUGAAAAUGAGGAAACUAAGAUUGUUAGUAGGCACAGAGAAUGGCUGUGUUUUACCAAUCAAACUUUAAAAUGAUUAAGAAAAAAAUGAAAGUGAUGCAGUCAAUGUGUUUAUUUCGCAGUAGAUACAUGCACAUUAUUUUUAAGUAUUUUGUAGUAGCUAUUAGAGCAGCCGUUUUUAUAUAAAAGCUUUUUUUUUUAAUAUGAAAGCUUUGUUUUUUUUUUGACGACUAAUAUGCAAGCUAUGUUAUAUUUGAAUAUAAAAGCUUUGUUAUAUUUUUGAACUUUAAACUAUGUUUUAUAUAAAGUUUUUUUAACUAUGUUUUAUAUAAAGUUAAAAAAUGUUUAAUUGAUUUUUUGACAACUGAUCUAGAAAAUAUAUAUUCACAAAAAAAAAGCUGAGAAUAAUACUUAAUAAAAAAUUAAUUAUUAAUACAAAUACAUUGUCAAAUGAACUAUAAUGAAUGUGUGAUGUUUGAAUGUUUCCACAUCAUUGAUGUUUGGAUGUUUGAAGGAUUGGAUUAUAUAUAUUACGUAUGCAUUCACAUAUAUUAAUUUUAUUUUUUUAAAAAAUAUUGUGAUCUAAAAUAUUAUUGUUUUGGCUUUACGCAAACGGGGUACGAGCAUUCAAAUCUUAUAUGUUUUUGGUUAAGUAAUAAUAGUUCAGGAAUAAUAAAGAUACACGAUCCAGUCAAACAUAACAAACGAUACUGCGUUAGUGCCUCAUAUAACUCAUACUCAGGAACCCUUAAUGGACUUUUCGGCUUUACGCACCAUUAGCAUAAUAAACAAACUCCUUAUCCAGUGACAUACCUGAGAUUAACCGGUCAACCGGUCUGAAAUCUAUUUAUUCAUCAGGCAACCAGUUCUCUGGUUACAUUCCUUCCAACUAUUUCUCAACAAUGGUUUCUCUGAAUAAAGCUUGGCACUCAAGCUUCUCUUCAUUUUGAAUAAAUCAGUACCCCUAUUACAUACAAAAACAUUGAAACUUAAAAUCGGGGAGUACACCAUCAACACACUCCUAUUACAAACAGAAACAUUGAAACUUAUCAUCGAAGAGUACACCAUCAACCCACUUUUCCGCGCGUAGCGCGGAGAAAGGCUCUAGUAUGAGUAAAAGCAUUAGAUUACAAAUNNNNNNNNNNNNNNNNNNNNNNNNNNNNNNNNNNNNNNNNNNNNNNNNNNNNNNNNNNNNNNNNNNNNNNNNNNNNNNNNNNNNNNNNNNNNNNNNNNNNNNNNNNNNNNNNNNNNNNNNNNNNNNNNNNNNNNNNNNNNNNNNNNNNNNNNNNNNNNNNNNNNNNNNNNNNNNNNNNNNNNNNNNNNNNNNNNNNNNNNNNNNNNNNNNNNNNNNNNNNNNNNNNNNNNNNNNNNNNNNNNNNNNNNNNNNNNNNNNNNNNNNNNNNNNNNNNNNNNNNNNNNNNNNNNNNNNNNNNNNNACUAGAUUUUGACCCGCGCUUUCAAAGCGCGGGUUUAUUUUUGUUUUUUUUUUCAAUUGACAAAUAUUUAGUAAAUGUCACAUUUUCAUAUAUUUGUGUUUUAUUUUAUAAAAGACUUAAAAAAUUUAUCUUUAUUUAUCGUAUUUCAUUUAAUGACUAUUUAUGUUUAAGAAAUUAAACUUUAUUUUUUUAAUGAAUUAAGUUGGUAUAACUCUGAUAAAUUAAUUUUAUCAUGGGGUUAAUAUUUUAAUUAAAAAAUGAUAUACUUUUAAAAAAGAUUUAUAUUUUUCAAUAAAAAAAUUCAAUUAUUUUUAUGAAUGCUUAAAUUAUAUUAAGAAAAGAAAAAAAUAAUAAUUAAGAAUAGUUGAAAAAAAAAAUAUUCGAAUUUGGACUCAAUGGCCCAAAGGAAAAAAAAGUGAGAAUUGAAUCUGAUUUAUAAUAGGCCCAAAUUGCCCAAGAGAGAUUUUAUGUGGGGUGGAUCCAAAAAUAAUGACCCAAUAUAGAUUUGUUAUUAAUAUUAUUUAAUUGCCCUUAAUGAAACAUGCAAUGUUAGUGAAGGAAAGGGCAGGCUAAGGUAAUUAUGACAAUAGGAUCCUGCUUUAAUAGUAUAGAUUUGCACAUUUUCUCUUUUUAUCUCAAAUGGCUUAAACAAAAAUGUAAUGUUUCGUACUCUAAAACUCUCCAACUCCUGUCUAAUUUCUUUAAACUUGAAAAUACCAAACUUUAUAUCAAUUUUUUAUUUUUUUUUAUCUCAUGUCUUUUUCACUAAUUUAUCUUGUUUUUGCAGGUUUUUAGCUGCAUGGUUCUCAUCUUCCAUUCGUUUAAAGGUAUAUCUAUAAAUUUAAUUAGAUAUGUAUUUUUGUGUGUUCUAUAAAGGUAGAUUUAUCGCAUUUUUCACUCAUUUCUCUGUUUUGAAGCCACUUGAACGGUUUUGGAUUCACAUGUUGUUCAGAUCUGAGUUAGGCUUUGGAAGUCUUCUAACAUAUAAUGCGCUACAAGACUUCCUAAAGUCUUCUGACGGAGUCUUCUCUCAUGUCUCUUCUUUCAUAACAAAUCUGAGUGUUUUGAUAAGUUUUUUAUCUGAUUUUUUUUCAGUUGGUAACAUUUGGUUGCUUAAAACUCUUACAGUUUUUCCAAACUAAAACUCUCCGACCUCUCUCUAAUCUCUUAGAACUUGAAAACACCAAAUUUUAUACCAAUUUAUCAAUUUUUAUCUCAUGUCUUUCUCACUAAUUCAUCUUGUUGUGCAGGUUUCUUAUUACAUAGUUUUCAUCUUCUACUCCUUUAAAAUUAGAUCUAAAUUUUUUGGAUAUGUAUUUUUCUGUGUUCUUUAAAAGUAGAUCUAUUUCAUCUUCCACUCAUGUUUUUGUUUUGAAGCCACUUGAACGAUUUUGGAUUUGCAUGGUGGUUGAUGUACUAAUAACAAUGGAAAUUUAGUACUAAUAACAAUUGAAAUUGUUUGUUCAUGUUGGUUGAUGUACUAAUAACAAUGGAAAUCUUGUAAAUAAAAUAGGAAUAUGAGGAUGAUUGACUGAAACAACCAUUUUCAAAAAAAAUUAAUAAAAUAAUAAUGGCACGUGAAUAAUUCAAACUUUUACAGUGAAUAGGGAAAACGAAAGUUUCAAAAAAAUCAUGGGUUAGUUUUGUGUUUAACUUUGAGUUUAAGUCAUUUUUGCAAAAAAAAAACCAUAAAUAUAUUAUCGUACGUAUAUUUUGAUAUAAAUAAUACCUCAAUGUUAAUUCAAUAUGAUAAAUGUCGAAGAGUAUAAAAUAUAUAGUACCAGAUUUUAAAUAGUAUAUACAUAUUUUAUUUUACAUUAUCAUAAUAAUUUAAUUCAAAAAUAAAUAAAAAUAGAUUUGUGCGAAUGCACGGGUCAUAUUCUCAAAAUGUGGGUGAUACAAUUGACGGUUUGCAAAACAAAAUAAAAUUACUCAAUGUAAAAUAUAAAUUAUUUUAUUUAGAAAUAUCAUAUUAAACAAUUAUUUAAUACGUGUAGAUUAUAAAAUAUAUAUUCUCACUUAUACAAAAUAAACAUUUAUUUAUAAAAAGUAAAAGCAAACACCCGCAUACUAUUUAAAAUAUGAAGUUUAUAUAGAAAGGUUUAUAUUAAAAUCCAAAUAUUUCCUUUUUAGAUUGUAUAGGAUUUACCAAUCUUAUUUACAAAUAUACUAGAUUAAGACCCGCGCCUUGCGCGGAAUGAAUAUUAUAUCUAAAUUACUUUUAUGUAUUAUAUGUUUUUUACAUAUUAUGAAAUAAUAAAUAUAUAUUGAAUUGGUACAAAUACAUAAAUAAAUUUUAAUUAUCCACACAAAUAAUUUUUUUCUAUUUUAUAUGGUAUAAAAUUAAGUUUAAAUGAUAUUAACAUAGAUAUAUAAUACAUUUUUAAUGUUGACAUCUGUUAAAAAAAAUUAUACUCAUAUUAUUUUUGAUCAUUUGUAUUUCUUUAUAAAAAAAAUUUAAAUCACUGAUAAUAAUAAAAAAAUUAUGGGAUGUUUAAUAGUUUUAGUAAUUUAUAAUUUUAAAAACAUUCAAUGCAAAGUUUAAAAUCAAAAUUUUAAGUUGCCAAUAUUUGUUUAAAAUGUUUAUCAAAAAAAAAUCAAAGCAAAUUUCGAAAUUAAAAUACUUAUGUAUUUUUUAUGGUAUAUAAUUUUUUUAAAAAAAUAUUAAUAUAUAUAUAUAAUAUUUAUUAAAUGAGACUUCCAACGUAAUUUCAUAAUAAUUUAUAUCUUGUUAUAACAUAAAUUUUAAGCCAUGGAUCACCAAAAUUUCAAUGCUAGAUUUUUAACAGUUUUAACAGUUUUAGUCAUUUAUAGUCGUUUUUAAAAAUUCAAAAUAUAACAUGUAUGAAAAAAUCUAAAUUUUUUUAUAUAGUUAAUACGGUUGUUUAAUUUAUUUUAAUAAGUUAAAAUUUUAAAAAGUGAUAAAGAAUAGACUAAUUUUUAUCAAAUAUUUAUUAUUCAAAAUCAUUAAUUGCCAUAUAUAUAUAUUUUAGCUACAUUAGGUAAUUUCGUGAUUUUUAUUUAAGGAAACAAUUAGGAGCAUUAAUUAUUAAUUUAUGGUUAGUUUAAUAAAAAACUUAUUACAUAUAUAUAUGGACCAACAUAUUUUUCUAAGGAUUCUAAGAAUGAUUAUGGUGAUGACACGUGACUACAAAAAUAUGUUGUAAUGCUUCUCUUUUAAUAUAUAAAAGAUAUCUUGUUAUUAAUCUAUCUCCAAUAAAAUGAAAAAAAAUAAUUAUAACUACAACUAGGUAUGAGGUUCGAAUCUUACAGACUAUGCAAUUUCUUAAAGAUUAUAUGAUGCAAAGCUUUUUAGAGGCUCUAGAGUACUACAGACAAAACCACUCGUUGUGGUUGUCUAGUGCGCACAGGACAUGUCUAUCGAAGAUGUCGUACACUGUCUGUCGAUCCAAGUUUUUCGGGAGAAUUUCAUCGUGGAAUUAUUAUCUGUGGUAUUGAUCAUCAAUUUCGCAUAUAUUGCAACUAAUUGAUCAUCGUAUGUAAUAGAUUAGAAAUUAUAUGAUCAUGUAGUUGGUAAUUACCCAUGGUUUAAAAAAAUCCACGAAUAGCCAUUCUUUUUCAUGUUUUUUUUUUUAACUUAAAGCUUAUUUAUCCCUUUCUUAUUAAUAAAGAAACAAUUUGAAAUAGUAAUCUUGGUUUUGCAAGUUAAUUACAUACAAACCUGCUGAGAUGUCAUGCUUACAUUCAAUCUCAGCCAUGCUUUAGAAAGACCCUUUAAUUACUCGCAGUGUUUUGAAACCCGACCCGGACCCACGGUUGAACUGGUAAACCCGGUGACCUAGAAAAAAUCCGGUUUGGAUUUUGUGAAAAACCCAACAUUUAGAAACCUGCAAAAACAUGAAAAAACCCACUAAAAUCCGGAACCCGAUCCGGUUGAACCACCGGUUGAACCACCGGUUGAACCACCGGUUGAACCACCGGUUGAACCAAUAAAUAACUUUUACUUCUUUUCUUUAGUUUUUAAUUAUGUUUUGUAUUCUAAGUUUCCAAUUAACAAGUUAUUUUAUGCGUUAGAAAAUAUUUAAACUAUUAUUAAAUUAUGUUUUGUAUUCUAAGUUUCCAAUUAACAAGUCAUAUCCAAACUAUUAUUUUAUGUGUUAGAAAAUAUUAAAUUUUAGUUUCUAUAUUAUUAUUUUCAUAGCUAAUAUAUUAUUAUAUAAUAAAAUUAAUUCAUUUAUUAACCUGCGGUUCACCCGCGGUCGACCCAUCGACCCGAUAGAUCGUCCGGUUCAGUGUCCGGAUCGGGUUUAAAAACAUUGAUUACUAGACAAUUUACAAAACCAUGCCACUUGCAGAAAAUGAAAACCCGACCACAUAACAUGAACUAGAUUUUGAUCCGCGCUUGAAAGCGCGACUUCUUUUGUUAUAUUUUUUUUGAUAUCAAUUAGUAUUUUGUGAUUGUUUUAUAUUAUUAUAUUAUAAAUAGAAAUUAUAUAAAAGAAUUAAUUUUUUAAAAUAUAUAUAAUUUGUGAAUUAUUUUAUUUGGAAUUAUGUAUAAAUCUUAUGUAAUUCUCUCUUACGCAUGGGCAUUUUACAUGAACCCCGAAAAACCAAACCAAAAUUAACUCGAAAAUACGUAUUCUUUUGGAAAUGUGGGCCUCUGUUCGCGUCUGAGACCUACCCGAAACCCGUUUGGGAGCCAAAGUACCGAAAAUGUUUGCGUAUAUUAGAUAUAUUUGUGUAUUUUGGAUAUAUUUUUGGUAUACAUAUAUUUUUGAGUUUUUGGUUUGAAUUUCCGGUUAUAGUUUUGAAUUUCGAGUAAAAAUUCAAAUUUUAAAAAUAUAUUUUUGGGUAUUCAGAUACAAUUUUGGGUAUUCUUUGGUUCUUUGGGUCAGAUUUCAGAUAAAAUUUUAGGUAUUUUGAGUAUUUUUUUAGAUUUUUGGGUUUUUGUUUAGAUUUUUGGAUAUUUUUCGUGUUUCGAGUAUUUUUAUGUUUAUCGAGUAUUAUUUGAGUCCUAAAUAUCUGAAUAGAUCCAUACCCGCUACGUACAAAAAAAUAACAUAUAUUUUAUAGGUAUUUGAAUUAUGGAGCCGAAACCAUCCAGAUUCGAAAGAAACUAUCCAAACCCAAAUAAUUUUUUUCUAAAUACCUAAUUAGAUCCAAAAACCCCCGACCUAGCAAAAUUCAUUGAUUUGUUUUAUAAAAUUUUGGGUGGAAAUAUUCUUGAGGUUUGAUCAAUAAUGUUUAAUAAGACAUGGCUCAUUUACAUUUCAAAAGUUGAUCUCGUAAGAAAAUUUUGAUCUAAUAAAGGAUGAUGGUAUAGAUGAUAAUGACCCCUACGUAUUGAAACUUCGGUGCCGUUUAUAUCAAAUGUAUUUAUGUUAAAUUGAAGUAAGUUGAUUUAAGUAAAAUAACCAUUUGAAACAUUCUGUAUAUGUACUCAUGAUCUUAUUAAAGUGGGUGAAAUUUAUUUUAGUGUUAGAGGAUAUUAUAUGAUUCCUAUAUAAUAGGGGAUAGUUAAUAAUAUCCCGUAAACUAUAUUUGAGAAGUGAUUUUUUUAAAUUUGUUUAGGUGUCAUCUUCAUAGACAAUUUCACCAGAAAAUCAUGACAUGGUACAAUUAGAUAUAUGAUAUGGCUUAUAAAAAAGAUGACAUGGCUAAUCAAUACCAUUAAAACAGGAUCAUUCACAAAUUAUAUCCUUAAUGAAAAUUGCAUUUUUCUCAAAAAUACCCUUAUUUUUACAAAGGAUUAUUAAAAUUCAUUAAUGGCAUUUAAGUCUUUUGGUUUUGGGCCUACAUAUACACCACAAAUUAUGGGCCUAUAUAUAUAUUUAAAAGAUAUACUAACUUUAAAUUUAAUAUAAGUAUAAAUAUAUUAUGUACUAUAAAUAAAUUAACAACAUGAAAAUAUUAUUUUCUUAAAUAUACGUAUCAAUAUUCAAAAUAUAUCAUUUGAAUAUUAUACAGAUUUUCAAUACAAACCAAAAUCAUAUAUCCUACACCAUAUAUCAUAUACAUAUUUGAAUAUCAUUUUUCCAUAUAUAAUAUUAUUUAUACAUAAUAUUGAUAUGACAAUUACGAGUGUUCAACAAUAUUUUUAAAACUAUCUUAAAAUCAAAUUUUAAAUCUAAAAUAAAAACAAAAACAUAUAAUAGGUUAUUAAUAACGAAAAUAAACUAAUAUUGUCAUAUCAAUAGAUUUUUUAUAUUAUCAUUUUUUAUUUGGAUAAUAUAAUAACAUUUCCUCAAAUUCUAGAGAAUCACUAAUUUAUGUAAUAUUAAAAAAUAUAUGAUUAAUUUAAUCAUUUUAAAAAAAUACUAUCAUAUAUUUUGUGUUUAUAUAUAUAUAUAUAUAUAUGUAUAUAUAUAUGAGUCUUACACAAAACGUAUUACAUCGAUUUAGAAAAAGCUUCAUAACUUUACCUAGCUAAACUUAUUAUGUCGUCCCGUGAUAACAUCCAGCCGUCCACAUAUGUCUUCAAUUCAGAAAAAUGUAUUUCAUAAUCCUUCUUUCCGUUAGCUUUUUGUAUAUUUAGUUUGACCAUAUUUUGUUUUUUAUGCAGGAUCUGUACACAUGGAAGUAUGAGUCAUCUUCAAGGCAUAAGACUGUCAUGUAUUUGGUGAAUGGUGUAAGUGAUUUUUUUUUUUGUAACUUGAUGGUGUAAGUAAUUUUUCUUUGUUAUUUUACUGUAAUUUACUUUUCUGUACAUCUUUUCUUUUUUUGGUCAAACACUUUUUUGUACCUCUAAAAUCUAACCUAUUUGAUAAAAUAUGUUUCAGGCCUCCAACAAAAUUGAUGAUUUUCGCAAGACUUAAGUAGAUGUACUGUAUGAAUAUAACAUCAUGAUGACACUUACAGUUAGAGAAAAACAUUCAGUCAAAUUUCUUCAUGAGCAAGUUAAAUCCAAGUUUACGGUUUGAAUGGAAAAUAAUAAGUUAAGUCAUGAAAGUGUAAAACUCAAGUCUUCGGAUUGAUGUGCCAAGAAUAUUUUUUUGUGAGAUCCGAAAACUAAAGCGUGGAAACCAGAAUUUGAGAUAUGAAGAAUAUUGUCAAUUGUAUGCUUUUGUUGCUUUCUUUAUUCAGUUCUUUUAGCAUCUGUUUUAAAUAUAGAAUCUUUAAAAAAAUGCACCACGUAACAAUUCAUUGUUUCUACCAUUUUCUUUAUUGCAAAUUGAUACCAUGUUUACAAAUCAUGACGUAAGUAAUCUAUGAAUAUAUUAUUUGCAAGACAAUUUGCCUUUCCUACAAGAUAUGUCCAUAUUUUUCUCAUUAAUGAUUGACAAUGAAUGGAAUGAAAUAAUUAUUAACAAUAUAUUUUGUUUUCACGUACCAAUUAUUAAAUAGACAACUUAAUAUAUGAAUAUUAAUGAGUUUUCAUAAUAUCAAGUAACAUAUAUUUCGGAUUGCAUAGACUAAAGAUAGAUUGUCUUUUCAAAAACAUUCGUUAUAUUGUAGUGAUAAAUGAAGGAAAUCAAUAUGGAAAAUAUAUGAUUCAUGUAUUCAAUGACGUGAAUGAAUAUCAACUAUGUUAUAUAUAUAUGUAUGUAUAUAUUAUUCACAAUAUGUUAGUUGACAAAAUUUUAACUUUGCAAUCAUUUUUAACAAAGCUUUAUGCCAUGUCUGACACACCUAAAAAUUUAACCAAAAGAAAUUGAAAAAAAAAAUCUAAAAUUGUGAUUUUAAAUAUAUACAUAUAUAUUUUUAAAUAUAAUUUAAAAUAAAAAAAUAUUUUUUCUAUAUUUUAUGCUUAAUUUAAGCAAAUUUAUAUUAAAUAUUGGUCAACAUAGUAAAAUAUAUAAUGUUAAUAAAUUUUAUUUUUAAAUAUAAUUUAAAUUUUAAUAACAUGAUACAGGAAAACACCUAGUUUAGUUGUAUACAAUAGGUUGAACUAAAAUAUAAAUAAGUGCAACAAUCUUUUGUAAGUAGAUUUGUUAGGACUUCUUCUCUUUUAAUAGUAUUGAUAUUUUUAUGUUUUAUUUAGACGUAAUAUAAAACGCGGUGUAUUGUAUAAUUUUUAUUCACUGCUUCAGUAUCUGAGAAUGGGUCUCCACCAAAAGUAUUCACUGCUGCGGUUUAUCUACGUACAUGUUGACCGAUUAUAUACCUUUUCCAAAAAAGAAUCUUUACACAUAGUCUAUGAUUAUGAUAACUUGACAAACAUUUAUUUUCUUGACCUAACUUAAGACUAUGAGCAAUUGGUAGUAGGUCAUUAGCAGCGGGACCAUAUUAGUUUCUGCCUUUCUGGACGGUGGAAACUGAGAAUGAUAGCACUGACAUUGUGGCCACAGAUAUAAUUAUUGUACGAACGUAUAUCUACACCAAUUAUUCUCUACGGCUGAGUAACCUUAUCGCCAAAAUGACAAUAAAUAUCAAACAUUUGCCACCCCCAAAUUAUUGCGAUUCACUCUUCUCCUCAUCAUCUUCCAAUCAGGUACACUCUCUCAAACCAUUUUAUGUCGAAAAAAUAUCAAACCAUUUGCGACGCAUUUUCUAGUUUUCGUGAUUAUUCUGUAUAUCCAAUCAAAGAGAUGUAGGGUUUUGAUAUAAAACAAAUCAUUUUGUGGCUAUGUUUCCUAGAUAAUUUUUUUACCUUUUUUUUUUCUUUCUAUAACAAAUAGGGUUUAUUUGCCAAAUAACCAAAAAGGGUGUUGUGUUUUCAGGAGAUACCUGACGGAUUUAAAUGGCCAAGAUGGAACCGCUAGGUGGUAACAAAGGAGAAGGAUUCAACGAUGUUGGUUAUGAAGGUGUGAAGAAAAUAACUGUGGGAGCUGAAGACGUAAACAUAACUUAUAUCAAGAUCGAAUACGUAAAGAACGGAAAAGUCGAGAUCCGUGAGCAUGGAGCGGCUCAUGGGGAACUGAAAGAGGUAUAAAAUAAAUGUGUUGGUGACUUUUGUUAAAUACUGAUCAGUUUUUUCGUUACUAAUUCAUUUGUUCUAAUGAAAAAAUGAAAUAUAGUUUUCAGUGGAUUAUCCGAAAGAUAGUAUCACUGCCGUUGGUGGAACCUACAAGCAUAUUUACUCUUAUGAUACAACGCUUAUCACAUCGCUGUACUUCACAACCUCUAAAGGAUUUACCUCGCCGUUAUUCGGUGAGAUGAAGGGAACAGAAUUCGAGUUCAAAGGUGAACAUGGAGAAAAGCUUAUUGGAUUUCAUGGACGUAGUAGUAAUGCUAUUGAUGCCAUUGGAGCUUACUUUAGUACUGGCGACAACUCAAACAGUGGAAGCGGAUCUAACAGUGAAUUUAGUACUCAAAAACUUGAUGCACAAGGUGGCAAGGGAGGAAAUCAAUGGGAUGACGGAGGCGAUCACGACGGAGUGACAAAGAUACACGUUGCCGUUGGCCGAGGCAUUGAGCAAAUCAGGUUUGAUUAUCUCAAGAACAGACAAACAAAUGAAGGACCUGCCCAUGGUGUGAAGGGGGGCAGAUCUUCCAUUAGAACGGUGUGUAUUAUGUGUUUCUAAUUUUUUCUUCUCAAAGAAUGUUUCUAUCAAAAUAUGUUAUCAUGAGAUUACUGAAAUUUUUCAUGUGGGAUUUCUCAUGAUUAUGCAGUUUGAGAUAAGUCGUCCCAACGAAUAUCUACUUUCUGUGAAGGGUUGGUCUGAUUCAACCAACAAGAUUGUGGGCAUUAAAUUCAUAACCAACACAAAUACUUCAGAGUGUUAUGGAUUUGAAAAAACUCCUGGAGAAGAAGGUACAGAUAUUUCACUUGAAGUAAAAGACAAGAAGAUUGUCGGUUUUCAUGGAUUCGCUGACUCCCAAGUCAAUUCUCUUGGUGCUUAUUUCGCUCCAGUCGCCAGCUGAAAACUUUGUUGGGUUCAUUUCUUGAUUUCCCUAUGAAUAAGGCUACAUCAGAGCCAUACCUGUGGAUAUCCGGAUGGGCUAUGUCUUAUGUUUUGUGUUUCAGUGCGAUGUUUGUGUUGUCACUUGUGGUUUUUUUUAUAAAGGAUGUCUAUGUUUAUUUUCAUUUGGAUCUGUUUUUAUUUGAAUCUUGUAACUAAAUUUGAUUUUCACUUGAAGUCUAUUAGCCCUAAUUUUUUUUUCACUUGAAGUCUACUACCUUUAAUUUUUAAACAGGAACACAACUAAAAGAGCUAAACAAGAACUAAACAAGAUACUUUACGUACCAGCGAGAGAAACGACCAGCAGAAGAAACAAAGCAAGCAAUGUGUAACCAAAACCGUAAGAAUUUUUUACAUUUAGAGACACUUUCUCACUUUCUAAUUAUAUUACAAGACACUUCACACUUGAGACACACUUUUUUUCUUGUGAAAAUGACUCAUAUAACCUCUUUCUUUCUUAUGUAUCACACUAAUCUUUCUCCUCUUCUUAUUCUACUUUAUUGUUUUUCUCAUUUCACUUUAUGAUUUCAUUUAUCUCAAAUUCUAAAAUAUAUUAAACAAAAAUAAUUGUUACAAUAAAUUAUAUAUAAAAUUAUCUAUCUUUUAAGAUCCAUUUUCAUAUAUAUAUAUAUUAUAUAUAUAUUAACAAAUUUGAAUGUGAAUGUGGAUGUGGAUACCAGAGCGUAAAUAAUAUAAUUAUAAAUUAGUUGUGGACGUAGAACAUUUUUAACACGAAGGCUGUUGGUUGAUACCUUUAAAAAUUUUCUUUUGAUGAGAGUUAUCUACUAUAAAACACAUUAACAUCAUAUGCCCACACAUUAACAUCGUUUGUCCACACAUUAACAUCGUCUGUCCACAUAUAAUCACUCAUCCACACAUCACUCAUCCAUGUAUACUCCGUCCAUAAAUCACGCAUCCACGCAUCACCCGUCCACAAUUGUCGUUUCUAUUAAGGGUGGUAAAAUUGUCCACUAUCUAUCACUGGCCCACAAUAAAGUGUGUCACAUGUAUGAAGUGUCUCUAGGUGUAAGAGAAAGUGAAAAAAGUGUCUCUAAGUGUAAUCAACUCCCGAAACUGUACAUUAAAAGAGAGUAGCGUUCGUUUACAUGCAAGUUAGAUAUUCGUUCAGAGCUGACUAGCUGAGCGAUUAAAAAGCUUACAUGUAAGUUUAAAAAUUAAAUCUAAUUCUUUACAUGCAAGUUAGAUCUUCGUUCAAAGCUGACUAUCUGAGUGAUUUUAGUAAAACUUAAAAAAUGAAAAAUGAAAUCUAUAGGUGAUUUGGUAAUGAUAUUUUCUAAAAAUUUCAAAUGAUAAUAUUUGUUUGUCUACACUUUUUUGCUUAUGGGUCUCUUUACCAAUUCAUUUGUUUUUUUAUCACACAUGUUUUGUAACGAUACGCUCAUUACUAAUAACUACUAUCAAGAGGCUUGAAAAAAGAGUAGACGUGCAACCAAGAAUCAUACUCUAGAGGUCAAUCGAUGGCGGCGAUAGUUUGGAGAUCAUUCAAAAAAAGCGAGCAGGAAAGUAUGAUGUUCGUGAUGCAGCCAGAAAGCUGCUCUACGGUUAGUUUUCUUUUGCCAAAACAUUUAACUGUGUCCAUCUUUUGAGACAUGACUCUAAAAAGGAGUUUUGGUGAUUCUUUUCAGGAUAGUACAGAAAUAAUCAAGAAAACCAUAAACGAGAAUAAGGCAAAGAAAGUCGAGUUUGCUUUCAAGAAACAAAAGUCUCAAGCGAAAGGUAUAUUCUGCAGAAAGUGAUGUUCGUUUUUCCUAUGAUUUUGUACUUGUUACAACAGCAAGUUUCUCUUACGUUGACCAAAUUGUAAGUCAGCUAGAAUCACUGCAACCUUGUAUCUUACCAGUGUAACCAACACACGAACAACAUUUUCGUCUGAACAAGAAGAUUCAAAUCAUUCACGGCAGCCAUAGUACUUCACAAGACUCCUAGAACUUGAUGCAUAAGAACAUUACAAGUGAAAAAACUAUUGAGAAGAUUGAUGAUGAAUUGAUGAUGAGCUUAAAUCAUUAUGAUAAUUCACCAGAGAGAAAAUAGAUUGUAAACAUCUAAUAUUGUUAGAAGAAUACACUGAGAGAUAGACAUAUUUUUUCUUGAAAGCUAGAGACAGAGAUUUGUUAACCUAGAUUUUUUGAGAAGACAAGAAACUGAAGAAUGCAUGUAAAGAUGGUUAGAACAACCUUAUUAUUGGUAGUCCUAACAUUGGUCCUUAGUGUUUUUAGUAUAGGGCCCACUACUUUUUUGCUAGAAACUUUGCUCAAAUGUCUCUAAUUAAGUAACGGCCCAAGGGUUGUCCAACACUGUUUGCAGACCCCACUGACACGUGGCGACCCGCAAUUGGUUCAUAUUUAUUAUUAUUAUUUUUUAAUAAGAAAAAAAAAAAUUUAAGGACCAAAAAAUGUCCCAGCCGAUAAUCAUGCUCUUAGAAUAAUAAAUUUUCUCUGUUUAUUAACGUGAGAGAGAGAAAAAAAAUAAGAGGAGAAGACGAUGAAGAAACUCAGAGAAUAAACAUGAAUUUCAAACACAAGAGCACUAUGAUCGUCUUCUUCCACUCUUGCUAUAAUUUCUCUAUCCAUUUUCUGGAAUCUUCUUUUACUAUACUCUCGAUCGCCAUUACUCAGCCUCCUGCUUCACUAUGUCUGCAAUUGAGAAAAAAAUAGGGGUGUUAUUUGUGGAUGUAUUUUAAUAGAAUUUAAAUCUAAACAGAAUGAUGAUUUUAAAUUUUAUUUUAAUAUCUGGUGUUAUUCAAUGAAUUAUUUAAAUUCAGUUUUUUUAAAAUCUAGUGUUACUCAAUUUUUAAAGUUUGUAAAAUUCUUCGUAUUUUCAAUUGAUUUCAAAUCAUCUCUCAUGAAGUCGCAUGAAUAAAUGAGUGAACUCAAAAUCCAAUGCCUACUGCAUAGAUUUUAAAAUUCUUGAACUUUAAACAAUUUAAAAUUUUAAAAUUUGAUGGAUUGCAAAUCACUGAUCGAAUAACACCACCUAAGACACUAAUUUUCAGAAUUUGUUAUUGUUAUUUAUUUUAAAGGUAUCUUCAAAUAACAUCUACAAAGACAUUAUUUCAAGAGGACUAUUUUUAACCGGAAGUGAAAGCCAAGUCUCUUAAAAUUUCUACAAUAAUUAUUUUUCCUAAAUAUUGUUUACACUUGAAUAACAAUGAAUUUGAUAUAUUUUUUAUAAAUUAUUAAUUAAAUAACAGAAGAUUGCAAGUGAGUUUAAGUGAUUUUGCACAAAUCCCAAAUUGAAUAACACUUGAUUUGAAAAGAAAUUUAAAAUCACUGACUAAAUAACAUAGGGUAUUAAUGAAAUCUCAAAAUCUCUUAGAGCAUGUUUAUUGGUAAAACCCACUUAAGGGUCCUUAGUAAAUUUUUAACUCUUAAAAGAGAGAUAAGAAACAUUGUUAUGACUGGCGUAGUAUUGUAUCUGGUAGAUCGUUAGCAAAGGACUAAUCAAAAGGGUGGGGUCAGGAUCAUCUAUCUCAGUAGGGAAUGAUCCUUGGCUCUCAUCUACUCGCCCGAGACCAGCAAAUAAAAAUCAACACAACCUUUACCCAGACCUUACAGUGGAUUCUCUCAUUGAUGUAACAUCUAGAACAUGGAAUUCACAGGCUAUUCAGACUCUAGUGGACCCGCAAGAUGCAAAAAUUAUUGAAAGUAUUCCUUUAAGUCGAAUUCAGACAGUAGAUCGGGAUGGAUGGCAUUUUACAAAAAGUCGAAUAUAUACAGUUAAAUCUAGAUAUCAAGUAGAGCGGGUGUAUCCUGAUAGUGGGCGAACAUUACCAGAGUAUGGUCCUUUGGUUUUGCCCUUGAAGGCGCAUUGUUGGAAGAUACGAUGUCCACCCAAGACAGAAUAUUUUCUAUGGCAACUGGUAACAUGAUGUAUAGCGAUGAAGAAAAAUUUACGCUCACGAGGAAUCCAUGAGGACACAACUUGCGCACAGUGUGGAGCACAAGAAGAGUUCAUAAAUCAUGUGUUUUUUGAAUGUCCACUAGAAAUUCAGGUUUGGGCACUUUCACGAAUUCCGUUGAAUCCGAACUUUUUUCCCCCACAAUUCCUAUUUGCAAAUAUGGACCAUUUAUUUUGGAGGGUUACCCCGGAAAUGGAGGAUCAUCAAUUUGCAUGGAUCUUAUGGUAUAUAUAGAAAGGAAGAAACAAUAAAAUUUUCAGUAAUCUGGAUAUUGAUCCGUGUGAAACAGAAACAGAGUUGAUACUCUGGGCUGAGGUACAAAUUACAAUAACACAGAGAACUGACCAAGCUCGGACUGCAACGGACGUGAUAGUACCAUCUAUCCCAGGUAGAUGGUGUUUCACGGAUGGAUCUUGGAAAGACGGGGAAAUAUUUUUGGGACAAAGGUGGUAUAGUACGCUAGAAGGUUUUGAUGGUCUAAUGGGAGUAAGAAAUACAAGAGCAGGUCAAUCACCUCUUCAUUCAGAGAUAGAAGCUUUUAUUUGGGCUAUGAAAUGUAUGAGGAAUCUAAGACAGUUAAACGUCACAUUUGCAACAGAUUAUUCUCAAUUGGUGAAGAUGGUUUCUAAAUCUGAAGAGUGGCCAGUCUUUACAAGUUAUUUGGAAGAUAUAAAGUUAUUGAAGAGAAGUUUCAACAGUUCAUAGCUCAUUCAUAUACCACAGACGCAAAAUUAAAGAACGGACAGUCUAGCACGCAAUGCAAGAAAUCAACCGUCUUUUGUUGUCCAUAUGGACGCGGAGCUACCAGUUUGGUUUACAGAGUCUAUAUGAAUUUGUUUGUUGCUGACAAAAAAAAAGAAACAUUGCUAAGAGACACUUAAUUUUAGUGGUUUAAUGGUAGUUUCUUAAUAAAGGUUCUUAACAAAAAAAAUAUUAAAUUUAUUUUUAAACAUAAAAUUUUAAACAAAGAUUAAAUUUAUUUAUUAAAUAAAACAAAGUCAAACAUAACAUCUUAAACAUAGAUUUUAAAAUGAAAACAUAAAUACAAAGAUUACUAAAAUAAAUGAUAAUAAUUUCAAAAAGGCAUUCAAGCUCAGUUGUUGUCUUCAUCACGUCCAAAUUUACGCCAUAUAUGUUCAACCAAAUCACCUUUCAGUUGUUGAUGUGCUUGUCUAUCACGAAUUAUUGUUUGAACACCCAUCAGAUUGGCGAUAUUUGUAGGGAUAUAUGUCGAAUAGGUGAGAUCGACAUGUGAACUUCCGCUGUCAUCUCCUUGUUGGAAAUCCGAAACAUCAUAUUGAGUGUAUUCAUCUUGUUCGUCUUCUACUAUCAUAUUAUGGAGUAUGAUACAUGCUCUCAUAAUCUUCCCAAUCUAGACUUUACCCCAAGAAAGUGAGUUUUAAUAAUGGCAAAUCGAGCUUGCAAGACUCUGAAAGCACGCUCCACAUCUUUUCGGGAAGCUUCUUGACGUUGAAAAAAUAAAACUGCUUUCGGCCCUUGUGGAAUCGGAAUAUAUUGGAUAAAAGUUGCUCAUUUCGGAUAAAUACCAUCAGUGAGAUAGUAAGCCAAAUUAUACUCUCUUCCGUUGACCGAGAAAUUCAUUUGCAGAGCUUGACCAUUUAUUAUGUCAUGAAAAACAGGUGAGCGAUCAAAAGCAUUGAUAUCAUUUAAGGUACCCGGAUGUCCGAAAACGCAUGCCAUAUCCAGAGAUCAUAUGAAGCAACCGCCUCUAAAACGAUUGUGGGUUUUCUCGAACAACGAGAAUAUUGCCCUUUCCAAGCGGUGGGACAAUUCUUCCACUUCCAAUACAUACAAUCGAUGCUCCUAUCAUCCCGGGAAUUCCACGAAGCUCUCCAAUAUGAAGUAGACGUUGAAGAUCAGCCGGUGUUGGUCUUCUUACGUAUUCAUCGCCGAACAAAUUUAUGAUUGCUUCCACAAAAUUUUCCACACAUAACUGAGCAGUGGUUGCACCGAACCUGAGGUAUUCGUCGACCGCAUCAAGUACAAAACCAUAUGCCAACACACGGAUAGCUGUUGUACACUUUUGAAGUGUAGAGAGACCAAGCCUUCCGAUACCGUCCUUCUUUUGACAAAAGAACUGAACUAUUGGAGAGGCGAUCAACAAUAUGCAUGAACAAUGGCUUGUUCAUUCUAAAUUGUCGUCAGAAUAGAUUUUCGGGAUAUGUUGGAGUGUCACUGAAAUAAUCAUUCCAUAACCGGAGAUGGCCUUUUUCACGAUUUCUUUCGAUAAAAAUUCUUUUUUUCUUUGUCUUCCUUUCAUCUUCUUGAUCACCAUAAACAUUGCACAAAUUCUCAAAAGUUUGAUUGAAAGUUUGAUCAAAAUAUUGAUCGAAAGUUUCAUCAAUAUUACCCUCGAAAGUGUUGUGAGAAGAUGAUGCCAUGACAGGUUUGUUUGAGAUUCUUGUGUCAGAUUAUAUAUUGUUUCACAUUUAGAAAGAGAAUGUAGAGUUGUGUGAAUUGUUGUGGGAAAGAAAAUAAUAGAGAAAGAGAAUGGAGAGUUGUGUGAAUUGUUGUGGAGAGACGUAUGAAUUGUUGCGAGAAAGAGAAUAAUAGAGAAAGAGAAUGGAGAAAAGUGUGAAAUGUUGUGAGAUAGAGAAAGUACAUUAAACACAGAAACAAAGAAACUUAAACAGUUAGACUUAUACUUAUAUAAAUUAGCUAGACAGAAAGUCAUUGAAUAGCUUCUGCUUGAGUGCUUCUUCAUAGUCAACAAGAGGUUCUUUUUCGCAAUCAGACUGUCAAGAAGAUUCAUCUUCGACAACCUUUCCUUCAUUGUCAAAUUUUGUUGUUUAAUAGACCACAUACUUUCAAACUCAUUCAGUGCAUUCUCCUCUGCCAAUGUCUUCUUACCGCGAGCCUUUGCGGCCUUAACACCCGGCGGACGCUUGUUCUCAGUAGCUUGAGAGCCUGACGAAGCAGCACCGUCAUCACACUUCAUCUUCUUAGAGAUCCCAUCGUUUUUAGCAGUAGCAAGGUCGCACCACUUCUGGUCGUCCCGGAGCUCCUUCCAAACGCGUUCCAGUGUGAAUUUCUUUUUAUGGUUAUUGUAGGAAAUUUGAUGAGCUAGUUUCAGAACGUCAUUAUCGUUUUGACCGCUACUCUUCUCUCUGCUUGCAUCUUCAAAGGCUCAACAAAACUUGCAAACAAGAUCAUUGAUCUUGUACCAUCGUUGCUUGCAAUGACUAGGCUCUCUCUGCUCGCAGCCAGCUACUGGAGGUCUUGCCGCAAAGUACGCUGCUACUCUUGUCCAGAAAGCGCCUGAUUUUUUCUCGUUGUUGACGACUGGAUUUUUGCUCGUGUUUAACCACGAGCUGAUGAGGAGAAUAUCAUUCGUUGGCGUCCACUUCCGUCGUUCUCUAUGCUCCAUAGCAGUCUCUCCACCAUCUUCGGUUCCUAGCGUGCUUUGAAACAAAGGUUGUGAUGAAGAUAGUGAGGCACUAUCUUCAUAGUUACCGAACGAAAUGCUUUGUUGACUAUGAAGUAGUUCAACAUAUUUUUAACUCUGGGUAGAUGGAUAAGAAUCCAUAUCCGAAGUAAGCUCAAGGAAGAGAGAAAAAAAGAAGAAAGUGGGAAGAGAAUCACACGGUUUGAACAAGGAAGAGAUAAAGAAAAGAAGUGAGGUGAGAAAGUAGGAAGAGAAGAGACACGAUUUAUGUAAGGAAGGGAAGGAUCAAUGCAUUGAUCACAACCACCCAUAACCGAGUAGACAUAUAUCUAAAAGCAUUCAUCACACAACCCCCUUCUACACAGAACACCAAAUCAAUUUAUUACCUAAACCUACCAUUAUCUCACACAAACCACUUAAACAUCUAUUUAAUACCUAACCUAACACAAAACUACAAUUCAAUUCUAUCCAGACAUGAGUAAAAAUCAACAACAAUCAUACCAUAUUUCACAAACCACCAACCAAUAUAUUUAUCAUGAUUAAUCCUAUUUAACAUAGCAAAGAAAAAGGUUUAAUCCAAUUCAAAAUUCAUUUCAAACAACCAUUAAAAUAAAAAACAAUCGCAUCAUAACUCACAAACCAACAACAAAUUUAAGCAAUGGUUUAUCUAAUUCAACAGAGCCAAGAGAAAGUUUAAUCCAAUUCAAAUGAUCAAAGAGAAAGGUUUUACCUUUAUGAACAAGAAGUGUGGAGUUUUGUCUGACAAAGAGAAAGGUUUAUCCUUGAUCGCGCCUCUUUCUCAAUCACUCGCAAGACACAAAAACAGAAAAAAAAUAUCAAAACAAAUCAGAGGACUGGACUUCUUAAGAUUCACGAUGAAAGAGCACAAUCAAAGACAUGCAUAAUUGAAAUAUUCAAACAUUAAAACAUAUGAACUCAUCUUUACCUUUCGAAUCACUGUUUUCCUUCGUUUCCGAGAGCCUCCACGAGAGAGAUCUCGCUGUUAUCCUUCGUCGAGAAGAGCAACCGAUAGAGGGGACGCCGUUUUACUUCGAGAGACGCCGAUUCGUUGAGAAGAGCCACCGACCGGGAGAAAUAUCGCUAUUUUCGUUGCCAAGGAGACGAGAGAAGGAAGAGAGAAAGAAGGAAAAGAGAGAAAAAGACGAAACCGUGAGACACCACCUCUCUUCUCUCCAAUGCUUUUGUUUUGACUGCUUAAUUAAGUGAAGGGUCUUACCUUAAUGACCGUUUUGUUCUUUUUUUUAAAUGAUAAAAUCAAAUGUAAGCUAAGAUAAACGUGCUCUUAAAAUUCUUAUUCUGAUAUAGUCGGCUCCGUGAACUAAUUCAUCUGAUGGGCCAACCCCAUAUAAACAUUUGGGCCUAUGAUAAGCAAUACGUAAGCAGCAAAACUCUCUCACCUUCUCAAUUCAUCUCUUCCGUUCCCUUCCGAUUUAGGGUUUCCACAGUCGCCAUGUAUCGCACGGCAGCUUCACGAGCCAGGGCUCUCAAGGUUUGUUACCUAAGCCUUUCAUCGUUUCACGAUUGAUCUCGUUUUGUAUGCUUCUGGAACCUUCGCGUAGUGAAUAGAUUCGUCCUGAUUCGGAUUAUUCUUAUUCCGAUUGAAUUACCCGCGACGAUGGGACUGUUAUUACUGCUUAGGCUUACGAGUGAUCGAGUCUUUGUUUCGCAGUUUCUGAAGUCAAAUCUAACUAGAAAUGGAUUUGCCUCUAUCGUUUCAAAUGGAUCGUAUUCUUGUUUUGUGAUAGGGAUCUCUUAGCCGGAGUUUGAGACCGGCGCGUUAUGCAAGUUCAAGUGCCGUUGCGACUAGUUCUUCUUCUUCUUCUCCAGGUUUCUUCAGCUGGUUGACUGGUGGAUCAUCUUCUUCGCUUAAUUCAUUGGACAUGCCACUACAGGGUGUGUCUCUUCCUCCACCACUUGCUGACCUUGUUGAGCCAAGCAAACUUAAGAUCACUACUCUCCCAAAUGGUCUCAAAAUCGCCUCCGAGAUGUCUCCCGUAAGUAAAUCUUAUGUUUACUUCUCUGAAGAUAGAAUCUUUUAAAAUGCGGUAAAUGAACUGAACGAAGUUAUUAUCUUGGUGUGUUAGAAUCCAGCAGCUUCCAUUGGUUUGUAUGUUGAUUGUGGUUCUAUCUACGAAGCUCCUUAUUUCCAUGGAGCAACGCAUUUGCUUGAGAGGAUGGCUUUCAAGAGCACGAGAAACAGGAGCCAUCUACGUCUCGUGAGGGAGAUUGAGGCUAUUGGAGGCAACACCUCCGCAUCUGCGUCUCGGGAGCAGAUGAGUUACACUAUUGAUGCUCUUAAGACCUAUGUCCCUGAAAUGGUUGAAGUUCUUAUUGACAGUGUGAGGAACCCUGCUUUCUUGGAUUGGGAAGUCAACGAAGAGGUGAUUCUCUUUUUUUCUCCUUUGUGGUUAUUUUAGUAACUCUUGUGAAAUUAUUUAUGUGACGUAUUGUCUUGUGGUUAUUUGGCAGCUACGUAAGAUGAAGCUAGAGAUAGCGGAACUUGCAAAGAACCCUAUGGGCCUUCUCAUGGAGGCCGUUCACUCUGCUGGUUAUUCCGGUGCAUUGGCGAAUCCUCUCUACGCACCUGAGUCUGCUUUGGACAGAUUGAAUGGGGAACUCUUGGAGGAGUUUAUGGCUGUAAGACCGCAUCAGCUUUUGAGAAUCUAUGUGAUUAAUGUCCUUAUUUGCUUACUCAUUUGAUAUGGGAAUUUCAGGAGAAUUUCACUGCUGCACGUAUGGUGCUGGCGGCAAGUGGAGUUGAACACGAGGAACUUUUAAAAGUUGUUGAGCCGUUGACUUCAGACCUUCCUAAUGUACCGCGCCAGGCGGAACCAAAAUCUCAGUAUACUGGUGGAGAUUUCCGCCAACAUACUGGUGGAGAGGUAAUCAUGACAGAUUUGCUUUCAUUGAACAAGUGUGUUUGAGAUGAAAGUGUAUUUAUGUCACAAUACUACGUGAGCUUAUUCUGUUCUGUCAUCUUCAGGCUACGCACUUUGCUCUCGCCUUUGAGGUUCCUGGCUGGAAUAACGAGAAAGAAGCAGUCAUCGCCACUGUUCUCCAGGUUUAACUUGAAUAUUUAAUGUUUGCUUGUGUCAAAAAUAUUUACUUGUUUUAAUCAAAUUCUAUUGACUGAAUAUAAUUUAAUUCGAAUUGCUAUUAGAUGCUUAUGGGAGGAGGUGGGUCGUUCUCUGCUGGAGGCCCUGGAAAAGGAAUGCACUCAUGGCUAUGUAAGUCAAUUCUUGUGUUUAUAUCGCUUUCUUGAGCUUUCUGUUUUCACGUUUGUUGAACUAGUUCAUUAGUUCUCAACCGAUCAGUAAUAGUGAUAAAAAUUCCUAUGUCUGUUUUUACAGAUCUCCGUAUUCUUAACGAAUACCAGCAAGUGCAGUCAUGCACUGCUUUCAGUAGCAUCUUUAACAACACCGGGUUGUUUGGAAUCUAUGGUUGCUCGGUUAGUUUAAGCAAUCCUGAUCUAUGCUCUUCCUUAUAAAUCAACUAUCCACUUAAUCUCAUUGAUUAUAGUUGUAAUUUGUGUGGGUAUUAAUACCUUCAACUUUAAGGAAUAUCGAUUUUGUGGGGGUAUUAGGCUAUGUCUUGUUUGUGUGACUUGACGACUUCUUUGCUUCAUAUGUGUUCUAGUACAUAUUUUGAUACGAUUUACAUCCAUGAGUGCAGAGUCCCGAGUUCGCUGCAAAAGCAAUUGAAUUAGCAGCUAAAGAAAUGAAAGAUGUUGCCGGAGGAAAAGGUUUGCAGUUUGUUUCUUCUGUUUUCUCCUAUUAUAAUCUUAACAAGUCGAAGCCGUUGUUUACAUCUGUUUAUUUGUUUGGACAGUUAAUCAGAAGCAUCUUGAUCGCGCCAAGGCAGCCACAAAAUCUGCAGUUCUGAUGAAUUUGGAAUCACGGGUAUUCUCACUACGAUCAAACCGUUUUGCUUGAAAAGCAUGUUUGUACGAUUCGAACCGAUUAGAUUUUACUAACGAGUUAAUGUAUGUCCUAUGCAGAUGAUUGCAGCAGAAGACAUUGGCAGGCAAAUUCUUACAUACGGAGAGAGGUACACGCAAAUGUCUUUUAGAAAAGAAAAAAAAUUAAAAACAGCGUAGUAUUCUUCUUGCGCAUACCCGUGUGUUUAUAAAUGAAUAAAUAUUGCAGGAAACCAGUUGAGCAAUUCCUGAAGACAGUUGAUGGACUAACCUUGAAGGACAUUACAGAUUUCACCAGCAAGAUUAUCUCAAAGCCUUUGACAAUGGGUUCCUUCGGAGAUGGUAAACAAGUUUUCACUCUUUUCUUACUAGUUUUAUAUACGUUUUUAAUGUCAAAAAAGUCAAGAUUUUGUGUUCUUUCUUUUGGCAGUGUUGUCUGUUCCUAGCUACGACACCAUAAGCAGCAAGUUUUCUUGAAGCAGCAAACAAGUUGCGAGAAAAUCAACAUUACUUUGGGACAUGUAAAAUAAAGAAGGAUGUUUGGGAAAAGAAGACUGGACCAUUUAAAAUUUCUAUUUCUUACGAAAUGGAUUUUGUUUCCAUCUACAGUUGAAAUGGCUGGCAUUUUUCCUGUCCGUCUCUCCAACUUUCAAGAAUUAUUUGUAUUCCAAUAAUUAUUUUUUCACAACUUCAUGCAGUUAUGCUACUUACUGUAUGUCAUUUUUCACAAUUUGUUUUACUUGGUUGAACAUGAAACAGAUAUCUUUUGGACAUGGUAGCUCGUGUGUAAUUUGACAAGUAGUAGCCGACGGUAACGACGAAAAUUUGUUUAUGGAACUGCAGUUAUCGACCGUCGAAUGAUGAUCUGCAACUCUAUGACUACAUUUAAUAGGGCACAACUCUAACCCUCAUCUCUAAAGGAAGAAUCAAAUGCUGAAAAGUGAAAACACUUCUCUUCUUGUCUCGAUUUUCAAGUUUAUUGUUCGUUUUAUCAAACUUGUAAUAUGUCAUUUUAAAAAUAGGGAGAAUUUGUGAAAUAACCAAGAAAAAAACCAAAAUUAGAUUUUUAGAGAGAGGGAUGAGAGAGAUAGGAAGGGAAAGGAAGAGAGAGAAGAAGAUUUUGGUUACUUAGCUAAUUUGAGUUUUUUGUUUGGUUAUGGGAUGCAAUUUCCCUUAAAAAUAUCUAGUGGAAGGAUCACACUUAGAAGCGUUUCAGUAUUUAAUUCAGCUAUAUACAACAUAGAUGGAUUUGUUUGAUAAACUUCAAGACAUGAUCUGGUAGAGACACUCGUAAGCUACACAGCGUACACUGAUGUGGUCGAUUAAGGAGAGAUUAAUAAUCUUCACAAAUGUUAAUAAGUGGACCGUAGCAAUUAUAGGCCCAUUUAUCCCAACUUAGGCCCAUUUAAAUUAAAAACGGUCAUCUACAUCGACGCUUCCUACUCAAGAGAACUCGUUCCCUUCUCCGCCGCAAACAUGAGGCUUCUUCGCCGCCGUUUCUUUAUCUUCACCGAUGGAAUUUCCGGAGCCAACCGGCGAAGAUACGCAACCAAGUAUGUCGCCAAGGUCACUUCAUCAUCUCCCUCCGGCCGUUCUCUGUCCGCCGAAGUUUCCCUUCCUAAUCCCCUCCCCUCCGACGUACGCGGCUACGCUCUCCCUCGGCGUCACCUCAUCUGCCGAGCAACCAAUCUCCUUCUCCGCCACGAAACCUCUUCAAUAGAGAAAGAGAAUGGAGAGUUGUGUGAAUUGUUGUGGAGAGACGUAUGAAUUGUUGCGAGAAAGAGAAUAAUAGAGAAAGAGAAUGGAGAAAAGUGUGAAAUGUUGUGAGAUAGAGAAAGUACAUUAAACACAGAAACAAAGAAACUUAAACAGUUAGACUUAUACUUAUAUAAAUUAGCUAGACAGAAAGUCAUUGAAUAGCUUCUGCUUGAGUGCUUCUUCAUAGUCAACAAGAGGUUCUUUUUCGCAAUCAGACUGUCAAGAAGAUUCAUCUUCGACAACCUUUCCUUCAUUGUCAAAUUUUGUUGUUUAAUAGACCACAUACUUUCAAACUCAUUCAGUGCAUUCUCCUCUGCCAAUGUCUUCUUACCGCGAGCCUUUGCGGCCUUAACACCCGGCGGACGCUUGUUCUCAGUAGCUUGAGAGCCUGACGAAGCAGCACCGUCAUCACACUUCAUCUUCUUAGAGAUCCCAUCGUUUUUAGCAGUAGCAAGGUCGCACCACUUCUGGUCGUCCCGGAGCUCCUUCCAAACGCGUUCCAGUGUGAAUUUCUUUUUAUGGUUAUUGUAGGAAAUUUGAUGAGCUAGUUUCAGAACGUCAUUAUCGUUUUGACCGCUACUCUUCUCUCUGCUUGCAUCUUCAAAGGCUCAACAAAACUUGCAAACAAGAUCAUUGAUCUUGUACCAUCGUUGCUUGCAAUGACUAGGCUCUCUCUGCUCGCAGCCAGCUACUGGAGGUCUUGCCGCAAAGUACGCUGCUACUCUUGUCCAGAAAGCGCCUGAUUUUUUCUCGUUGUUGACGACUGGAUUUUUGCUCGUGUUUAACCACGAGCUGAUGAGGAGAAUAUCAUUCGUUGGCGUCCACUUCCGUCGUUCUCUAUGCUCCAUAGCAGUCUCUCCACCAUCUUCGGUUCCUAGCGUGCUUUGAAACAAAGGUUGUGAUGAAGAUAGUGAGGCACUAUCUUCAUAGUUACCGAACGAAAUGCUUUGUUGACUAUGAAGUAGUUCAACAUAUUUUUAACUCUGGGUAGAUGGAUAAGAAUCCAUAUCCGAAGUAAGCUCAAGGAAGAGAGAAAAAAAGAAGAAAGUGGGAAGAGAAUCACACGGUUUGAACAAGGAAGAGAUAAAGAAAAGAAGUGAGGUGAGAAAGUAGGAAGAGAAGAGACACGAUUUAUGUAAGGAAGGGAAGGAUCAAUGCAUUGAUCACAACCACCCAUAACCGAGUAGACAUAUAUCUAAAAGCAUUCAUCACACAACCCCCUUCUACACAGAACACCAAAUCAAUUUAUUACCUAAACCUACCAUUAUCUCACACAAACCACUUAAACAUCUAUUUAAUACCUAACCUAACACAAAACUACAAUUCAAUUCUAUCCAGACAUGAGUAAAAAUCAACAACAAUCAUACCAUAUUUCACAAACCACCAACCAAUAUAUUUAUCAUGAUUAAUCCUAUUUAACAUAGCAAAGAAAAAGGUUUAAUCCAAUUCAAAAUUCAUUUCAAACAACCAUUAAAAUAAAAAACAAUCGCAUCAUAACUCACAAACCAACAACAAAUUUAAGCAAUGGUUUAUCUAAUUCAACAGAGCCAAGAGAAAGUUUAAUCCAAUUCAAAUGAUCAAAGAGAAAGGUUUUACCUUUAUGAACAAGAAGUGUGGAGUUUUGUCUGACAAAGAGAAAGGUUUAUCCUUGAUCGUGCCUCUUUCUCAAUCACUCGCAAGACACAAAAACAGAAAAAAAAUAUCAAAACAAAUCAGAGGACUGGACUUCUUAAGAUUCACGAUGAAAGAGCACAAUCAAAGACAUGCAUAAUUGAAAUAUUCAAACAUUAAAACAUAUGAACUCAUCUUUACCUUUCGAAUCACUGUUUUCCUUCGUUUCCGAGAGCCUCCACGAGAGAGAUCUCGCUGUUAUCCUUCGUCGAGAAGAGCAACCGAUAGAGGGGACGCCGUUUUACUUCGAGAGACGCCGAUUCGUUGAGAAGAGCCACCGACCGGGAGAAAUAUCGCUAUUUUCGUUGCCAAGGAGACGAGAGAAGGAAGAGAGAAAGAAGGAAAAGAGAGAAAAAGACGAAACCGUGAGACACCACCUCUCUUCUCUCCAAUGCUUUUGUUUUGACUGCUUAAUUAAGUGAAGGGUCUUACCUUAAUGACCGUUUUGUUCUUUUUUUUAAAUGAUAAAAUCAAAUGUAAGCUAAGAUAAACGUGCUCUUAAAAUUCUUAUUCUGAUAUAGUCGGCUCCGUGAACUAAUUCAUCUGAUGGGCCAACCCCAUAUAAACAUUUGGGCCUAUGAUAAGCAAUACGUAAGCAGCAAAACUCGCAGUCUCUCUCACCUUCUCAAUUCAUCUCUUCCCUUCCCUUCCGAUUUAGGGUUUCCACAGUCGCCAUGUAUCGCACGGCAGCUUCACGAGCCAGGGCUCUCAAGGUUUGUUACCUUAGCCUUUGAUCGUUUCACGAUUGAUGUUCUCUUGUAAGCGUCUGGAACCUUCGCGUAGUGAAUAGAUUCGUCCUGAUUCGGAUUAUUCUUAUUCCGAUUGAAUUACCCGCGACGAUGGGACUGUUAUUACUGCUUAGGCUUACGAGUGAUCGAGUCUUUGUUUCGCAGUUUCUGAAGUCAAAUCUAACUAGAAAUGGAUUUGCCUCUAUCGUUUCAAAUGGAUCGUAUUCUUGUUUUGUGAUAGGGAUCUCUUAGCCGGAGUUUGAGACCGGCGCGUUAUGCAAGUUCAAGUGCCGUUGCGACUAGUUCUUCUUCUUCUUCUCCAGGUUUCUUCAGCUGGUUGACUGGUGGAUCAUCUUCUUCGCUUAAUUCAUUGGACAUGCCACUACAGGGUGUGUCUCUUCCUCCACCACUUGCUGACCUUGUUGAGCCAAGCAAACUUAAGAUCACUACUCUCCCAAAUGGUCUCAAAAUCGCCUCCGAGAUGUCUCCCGUAAGUAAAUCUUAUGUUUACUUCUCUGAAGAUAGAAUCUUUUAAAAUGCGGUAAAUGAACUGAACGAAGUUAUUAUCUUGGUGUGUUAGAAUCCAGCAGCUUCCAUUGGUUUGUAUGUUGAUUGUGGUUCUAUCUACGAAGCUCCUUAUUUCCAUGGAGCAACGCAUUUGCUUGAGAGGAUGGCUUUCAAGAGCACGAGAAACAGGAGCCAUCUACGUCUCGUGAGGGAGAUUGAGGCUAUUGGAGGCAACACCUCCGCAUCUGCGUCUCGGGAGCAGAUGAGUUACACUAUUGAUGCUCUUAAGACCUAUGUCCCUGAAAUGGUUGAAGUUCUUAUUGACAGUGUGAGGAACCCUGCUUUCUUGGAUUGGGAAGUCAACGAAGAGGUGAUUCUCUUUUUUUCUCCUUUGUGGUUAUUUUAGUAACUCUUGUGAAAUUAUUUAUGUGACGUAUUGUCUUGUGGUUAUUUGGCAGCUACGUAAGAUGAAGCUAGAGAUAGCGGAACUUGCAAAGAACCCUAUGGGCCUUCUCAUGGAGGCCGUUCACUCUGCUGGUUAUUCCGGUGCAUUGGCGAAUCCUCUCUACGCACCUGAGUCUGCUUUGGACAGAUUGAAUGGGGAACUCUUGGAGGAGUUUAUGGCUGUAAGACCGCAUCAGCUUUUGAGAAUCUAUGUGAUUAAUGUCCUUAUUUGCUUACUCAUUUGAUAUGGGAAUUUCAGGAGAAUUUCACUGCUGCACGUAUGGUGCUGGCGGCAAGUGGAGUUGAACACGAGGAACUUUUAAAAGUUGUUGAGCCGUUGACUUCAGACCUUCCUAAUGUACCGCGCCAGGCGGAACCAAAAUCUCAGUAUACUGGUGGAGAUUUCCGCCAACAUACUGGUGGAGAGGUAAUCAUGACAGAUUUGCUUUCAUUGAACAAGUGUGUUUGAGAUGAAAGUGUAUUUAUGUCACAAUACUACGUGAGCUUAUUCUGUUCUGUCAUCUUCAGGCUACGCACUUUGCUCUCGCCUUUGAGGUUCCUGGCUGGAAUAACGAGAAAGAAGCAGUCAUCGCCACUGUUCUCCAGGUUUAACUUGAAUAUUUAAUGUUUGCUUGUGUCAAAAAUAUUUACUUGUUUUAAUCAAAUUCUAUUGACUGAAUAUAAUUUAAUUCGAAUUGCUAUUAGAUGCUUAUGGGAGGAGGUGGGUCGUUCUCUGCUGGAGGCCCUGGAAAAGGAAUGCACUCAUGGCUAUGUAAGUCAAUUCUUGUGUUUAUAUCGCUUUCUUGAGCUUUCUGUUUUCACGUUUGUUGAACUAGUUCAUUAGUUCUCAACCGAUCAGUAAUAGUGAUAAAAAUUCCUAUGUCUGUUUUUACAGAUCUCCGUAUUCUUAACGAAUACCAGCAAGUGCAGUCAUGCACUGCUUUCAGUAGCAUCUUUAACAACACCGGGUUGUUUGGAAUCUAUGGUUGCUCGGUUAGUUUAAGCAAUCCUGAUCUAUGCUCUUCCUUAUAAAUCAACUAUCCACUUAAUCUCAUUGAUUAUAGUUGUAAUUUGUGUGGGUAUUAAUACCUUCAACUUUAAGGAAUAUCGAUUUUGUGGGGGUAUUAGGCUAUGUCUUGUUUGUGUGACUUGACGACUUCUUUGCUUCAUAUGUGUUCUAGUACAUAUUUUGAUACGAUUUACAUCCAUGAGUGCAGAGUCCCGAGUUCGCUGCAAAAGCAAUUGAAUUAGCAGCUAAAGAAAUGAAAGAUGUUGCCGGAGGAAAAGGUUUGCAGUUUGUUUCUUCUGUUUUCUCCUAUUAUAAUCUUAACAAGUCGAAGCCGUUGUUUACAUCUGUUUAUUUGUUUGGACAGUUAAUCAGAAGCAUCUUGAUCGCGCCAAGGCAGCCACAAAAUCUGCAGUUCUGAUGAAUUUGGAAUCACGGGUAUUCUCACUACGAUCAAACCGUUUUGCUUGAAAAGCAUGUUUGUACGAUUCGAACCGAUUAGAUUUUACUAACGAGUUAAUGUAUGUCCUAUGCAGAUGAUUGCAGCAGAAGACAUUGGCAGGCAGAUUCUUACAUACGGAGAGAGGUACACGCAAAUGUCUUUUAGAAAAGAAAAAAAAUUAAAAACAGCGUAGUAUUCUUCUUGCGCAUACCCGUGUGUUUAUAAAUGAAUAAAUAUUGCAGGAAACCAGUUGAGCAAUUCCUGAAGACAGUUGAUGGACUAACCUUGAAGGACAUUACAGAUUUCACCAGCAAGAUUAUCUCAAAGCCUUUGACAAUGGGUUCCUUCGGAGAUGGUAAACAAGUUUUCACUCUUUUCUUACUAGUUUUAUAUACGUUUUUAAUGUCAAAAAAGUCAAGAUUUUGUGUUCUUUCUUUUGGCAGUGUUGUCUGUUCCUAGCUACGACACCAUAAGCAGCAAGUUUUCUUGAAGCAGCAAACAAGUUGCGAGAAAAUCAACAUUACUUUGGGACAUGUAAAAUAAAGAAGGAUGUUUGGGAAAAGAAGACUGGACCAUUUAAAAUUUCUAUUUCUUACGAAAUGGAUUUUGUUUCCAUCUACAGUUGAAAUGGCUGGCAUUUUUCCUGUCCGUCUCUCCAACUUUCAAGAAUUAUUUGUAUUCCAAUAAUUAUUUUUUCACAACUUCAUGCAGUUAUGCUACUUACUGUAUGUCAUUUUUCACAAUUUGUUUUACUUGGUUGAACAUGAAACAGAUAUCUUUUGGACAUGGUAGCUCGUGUGUAAUUUGACAAGUAGUAGCCGACGGUAACGACGAAAAUUUGUUUAUGGAACUGCAGUUAUCGACCGUCGAAUGAUGAUCUGCAACUCUAUGACUACAUUUAAUAGGGCACAACUCUAACCCUCAUCUCUAAAGGAAGAAUCAAAUGCUGAAAAGUGAAAACACUUCUCUUCUUGUCUCGAUUUUCAAGUUUAUUGUUCGUUUUAUCAAACUUGUAAUAUGUCAUUUUAAAAAUAGGGAGAAUUUGUGAAAUAACCAAGAAAAAAACCAAAAUUAGAUUUUUAGAGAGAGGGAUGAGAGAGAUAGGAAGGGAAAGGAAGAGAGAGAAGAAGAUUUUGGUUACUUAGCUAAUUUGAGUUUUUUGUUUGGUUAUGGGAUGCAAUUUCCCUUAAAAAUAUCUAGUGGAAGGAUCACACUUAGAAGCGUUUCAGUAUUUAAUUCAGCUAUAUACAACAUAGAUGGAUUUGUUUGAUAAACUUCAAGACAUGAUCUGGUAGAGACACUCGUAAGCUACACAGCGUACACUGAUGUGGUCGAUUAAGGAGAGAUUAAUAAUCUUCACAAAUGUUAAUAAGUGGACCGUAGCAAUUAUAGGCCCAUUUAUCCCAACUUAGGCCCAUUUAAAUUAAAAACGGUCAUCUACAUCGACGCUUCCUACUCAAGAGAACUCGUUCCCUUCUCCGCCGCAAACAUGAGGCUUCUUCGCCGCCGUUUCUUUAUCUUCACCGAUGGAAUUUCCGGAGCCAACCGGCGAAGAUACGCAACCAAGUAUGUCGCCAAGGUCACUUCAUCAUCUCCCUCCGGCCGUUCUCUGUCCGCCGAAGUUUCCCUUCCUAAUCCCCUCCCCUCCGACGUACGCGGCUACGCUCUCCCUCGGCGUCACCUCAUCUGCCGAGCAACCAAUCUCCUUCUCCGCCACGAAAUUCCGAUCCCUUCUCCGAGCUCUCCGAUUACCUCUCUUCCCUCUCACUCUCCCUAACUCCCGACGAAGCUUCAGAGAUUCUCAAAUCCCUAAACUGCCCUCGCCUGGCCGUCGAUUUCUUCCACUUCGUCCCCUCCGUGUGCCCUAGCUCUCACCGCGACCCGUUCCUCUACAACCGCAUCAUCUUAAUCCUCUCCAAGUCUAAUCUCCCCGACAGAUUCGAUCGCGUCCGUUCGAUUCUCGAUCAGAUGGUGAAGUCUAACGUACGUGGCAACAUCUCCACCGUUAAUAUCUUAAUAGGUUUCUUGGGGAACACGGAAGAUUUAGAAAUGUGCUUAGGGCUGGUGAAGAAAUGGGAGUUAAAGAUGAACUCUUUCACUUACAAGUGUCUGCUUCAAGCUUACUUAAGGUCUCGUGAUUCUUCGAAAGCUUUCCAUGUGUACUGCGAGAUUAGAAGAGGAGGGCAUAAGCUCGACGUCUUCGCUUACAAUAUGUUGCUUGAUGCUUUAGCUAAAGAUGAUAAGGUACUUACUUCAUUAUUUCCUUCACACAAACUAAAGGUUGAGUUUCAUCUAGGCAUAGGCAUUCAGCUCCGUUGAAUUUUUAGGUUUUUUGGAUCUUUCGUUUAUAGAUAGAUAUAGGAACUGUUUGGGUUCUAUAAAAUUCGGUUUGGUUCUGGUAAAAAUAUUGGAACUGGCUAGUAACAUGGAAAUGUUCGAGAUUGAAUUGGUUUCAGCUUGUUGGGUAGUUUCCGAUAAUUGGAAGGAAAAUAUCGGUGAAGAAGAUGUUUUUAGGUAAAAUAUUGGGUAAUUCAGGAUGUUCAAAUUUUAUUAUUGGUUAAUUUCAUAUAAUUUGGAUAAAGUAAUUAGAUAAUUCGGGUUUUUGAACAAUUUUUGGUUUAUAAAUUAUAUUUUAGAUAUAAUUAUUUUGAACUAAAUAUAACUAAUAUUUUUUGGAUAUGAAUUGUAUUUUGGGUACCCAUUCGAUUUUUGGUUCCGUUCUGGUUCGGUUUUGGUUAAGAGAAAUAGGAACUAUUUGGGUUUUUUUUGUGAGUUUGGUCCGGUUUUGUUUUCGGGUUUGGGAUAGAUGGAAUGUGCUGGCCUAGUUUCGUGUAUAGAGAAAGAUGAAAAUGUACAUUCUUUGCUCAGAUUGAUCAAGCACGCCAAGUUUUCGAAGACAUGAAGAGAAAGCAUUGUAGAGGAGAUGAGUAUUCCUACACGAUUAUGAUCAGGACAAUGGGAAGGAUUGGGAAGUACAAUAAAGCUGUUGAUCUAUUCAAUGAGAUGAUAACUGAAGGGCUUACUCUUAACGUGGUUGGUUACAAUACUCUUAUGCAAGUUCUCGCAAAAGCAAAGAUGGUUGAUAAGGCUAUUCAGGUUUUCUCCAAGAUGGUUGAAACGGGUUGUCGUCCCAACGAGUAUACGUACAGUCUGGUUUUGAAUCUUUUGGUAGCUGAAGGUCAGCUUGUGAAGUUAGAUGGGAUUGUGGAGAUGUCCAAGAGGUAUAUGACUCAGGGGAUAUAUUCUUAUUUGGUUAGAACCCUGAGUAAACUAGGGCAUGUGAGUGAGGCUCACCGGCUGUUCUGUGAUAUGUGGAGCUUCCCUGUAAAAGGAGAGAGGGAUAGUUACAUGUCGAUGCUUGAGAGUUUGUGCGGUGCGGGUAAAACAGUUGAAGCUAUAGAGAUGUUGAGCAAGAUUCAUGAGAAAGGUGUGGUUACGGAUACCAUGAUGUACAACACUGUGUUCUCUGCCCUUGGGAAGCAAAAGCAAGUAUCUCAUAUUCAUGAUCUCUUUGAGAAAAUGAAAAAAGAUGGUCCUUGUCCAGACAUAUUCACAUACAACAUACUCAUCUCGAGUUUCGGUCGUGUAGAAGAAGUUGAUGAGGCUAUCAAAAUCUUCGAGGAGCUUGAGAGUAGUGACUGUAAACCGGACAUUGUUUCUUACAACUCUUUGAUUAAUUGUUUGGGGAAGAACGGUGAUGUCGAUGAAGCUCACGUGAGGUUCAAGGAGAUGCAGGAGAAAGGAUUGAACCCUGAUGUGGUCACAUACAGCACUCUGAUGGAAUGCUUUGGGAAGUCGGAGAGAGUCGAAAUGGCAUAUAGAUUGUUCGAAGAGAUGCUUGUUAAAGGGUGUCAGCCCAACAUUGUGACGUACAACAUUUUGCUUGAUUGUCUAGAGAAGAGUGGAAGAACCGCGGAAGCAGUUGAUAUGUAUACAAGGAUGAAACAGCAAGGACUCACACCUGAUUCCAUUACUUACAGUGUUCUUGAACGGUUGCAAUCUGGCUCUCAUGGAAAGUCGCGGAUUCGUAGGAAGAAUCCGAUAACUGGUUGGGUGGUCAGUCCUUUGUAGUCACGUGAAGUAGUGAAACAAGGUUUUGAGAAUGACACUUGGCUGGGGAAUGAAAACUCCAGAUUUUAUUGAGGCUUUUUCAGUGAACUCUGUACAAACACCGUCUUCUCCGUAUUGUGAUGAUCAGGUUAGAGUACCUGAAGCUCCAGAUGUUUGAAGGGUUUGCUUAUUGCAUCACAUAGUUCUUUAAUGUAUUGGUUCCUUAUUGUUUGCUCCUUGUUGAAUUAGAAGAGCUGGAUGAUCAGAAUAAGAUUAUGUACCUAGAUUGAUCAAGAAUGUGUUACAUAGUCUUAUAGAGAGAUUAUAGUAUCCAAAACCUCGACUAUAGAUUAUUUAUUAUCAAAUUUUAUUUUAUCCAUUUGCAGUUUUGCUUUGUUCUUUUUAAUUUUCAAGAUUGUAGAAGGGUACAAGAAAAUAAUUAGUUUGUGAUUUAAUUAUUGAAAAUUAUAACCCUAAAUUUGCAUCAGGCAACACUGAAAAUUCAUUGCUAAAUUCUUGAAGAGAAUUUUUUUUUUAGAGAAAGCAUUGUAGAGGAGAUGAGUAUUCCUACACGAUUAUGAUCAGGACAAUGGGAAGAAUUGGGAAGUACAAUAAAGCUGUUGAUCUAUUCAAUGAGAUGAUAACUGAAGGGCUUACUCUCAACGUGGUUGGUUACAAUACUCUUAUGCAAGUUCUCGCAAAAGGAAAGAUGGUUGAUAAGGCUAUUCAGGUUUUCUCCAAGAUGGUUGAAACGGGUUGUCGUCCCAACGAGUAUACGUACAGUCUGGUUUUGAAUCUUUUAGUAGCUGUAGGUCAGCUUGUGAAGUUAGAUGGGAUUGUGGAGAUGUCCAAGAGGUAUAUGACUCAGGGGAUAUAUUCUUAUUUGGUUAGAACGCUGAGUAAACUAGGGCAUGUGAGUGAGGCUCACCGGCUGUUUUGUGAUAUGUGGAGCUUCCCUGUGAAAGGACAGAGGGAUAGUUACAUGUCGAUGCUUGAGAGUUUAUGCGGUGCGGGUAAAACAGUUGAAGCUAUAGAGAUGUUGAGCAAGAUCCAUGAGAAAGGUGUGGUUACGGAUACCAUGAUGUACAACACCGUGUUCUCUGCGCUUGGGAAGCAAAAGCAAGUAUCUCAUAUUCAUGAUCUCUUCGAGAAAAUGAAAAAAGAUGGUCCGUGUCCAGACAUAUUCACGUAUAAUAUACUCAUCUCUAGUUUUGGUCGUGUGGGAGAAGUUGAUGAGGCUAUCAAAAUCUUCGAGGAGCUUGAGAGUAGUGACUGUAAACCGGACAUUGUUUCUUACAACUCUUUGAUUAAUUGUUUGGGGAAGAACGGUGAUGUCGAUGAAGCUCACGUGAGGUUCAAGGAGAUGCAGGAGAAAGGAUUGAACCCUGAUGUGGUCACAUACAGCACUCUGAUGGAAUGCUUUGGGAAGUCGGAGAGAGUCGAAAUGGCAUAUAGAUUGUUCGAAGAGAUGCUUGUUAAAGGGUGUCAGCCCAACAUUGUGACGUACAACAUUUUGCUUGAUUGUCUAGAGAAGAGUGGAAGAACCGCGGAAGCAGUUGAUAUGUAUACAAGGAUGAAACAGCAAGGACUCACACCUGAUUCCAUUACUUACAGUGUUCUUGAACGGUUGCAAUCUGGCUCUCAUGGAAAGUCGCGGAUUCGUAGGAAGAAUCCGAUAACUGGUUGGGUGGUCAGUCCUUUGUAGUCACGUGAAGUAGUGAAACAAGGUUUUGAGAAUGACACUUGGCUGGGGAAUGAAAACUCCAGAUUUUAUUGAGGCUUUUUCAGUGAACUCUGUACAAACACCGUCUUCUCCGUAUUGUGAUGAUCAGGUUAGAGUACCUGAAGCUCCAGAUGUUUGAAGGGUUUGCUUAUUGCAUCACAUAGUUCUUUAAUGUAUUGGUUCCUUAUUGUUUGCUCCUUGUUGAAUUAGAAGAGCUGGAUGAUCAGAAUAAGAUUAUGUACCUAGAUUGAUCAAGAAUGUGUUACAUAGUCUUAUAGAGAGAUUAUAGUAUCCAAAACCUCGACUAUAGAUUAUUUAUUAUCAAAUUUUAUUUUAUCCAUUUGCAGUUUUGCUUUGUUCUUUUUAAUUUUCAAGAUUGUAGAAGGGUACAAGAAAAUAAUUAGUUUGUGAUUUAAUUAUUGAAAAUUAUAACCCUAAAUUUGCAUCAGGCAACACUGAAAAUUCAUUGCUAAAUUCUUGAAGAGAAUUUUUUUUUUUUUUUUUUUUUUACAGAAUCAUGUAGCUAGAACAAGAAUAGCGUUGUUGCUGCAAACUCUCGCCGCCGCUAACGCGAUUCUUGGAGGCUAUAACCUCAUCUAGCGACAACCGGUUCCUCUCAGAAAGCCGAUGAGGUGCGCUAUGCGAACGUUGCUUCGCCUUAAACGACUGUGUAUUCUCCAUGUAGCCAGGACCAGGAGUGUUCAUUCCAUAGCCAGACUGAGCAUUUCCACAAACCCUUUUACUAGGACACUGCAUUACAUAGUAGCGAUUAUUAUUAGUCGUGUGAUGGUGAGAUGAAGAGGUUAGUCUCGGUGUCGUCGCAAACUUUGAUGAAGAUGACAAUCUUGGCGUGCUUUGCGCAGUCCCAGACUUCCACUUCUCCUUUGGUAAGUUCAACUCCAAAUCACUCCCUCGGUAAACAAAACCGUCUUCAUAUUCAGACAUUGGGACAAGAUUGUGCGUUUGCCUAGGUGUAGGUCUCCUCUUAAACAUGUCAUGGACCUCCACAAUCUUUUGAUGUCUCUCUUCACUCGCCACUUCAUCAAACUUAUCCUAUCAAUUAUAUGAAUCAGACAAAACACUUUUAAAGUCUUGGUUUUGGCUUAAAGAACAAGAAGUCAACAGAAGUGGUAAGUUGGUUCUUUACAAAGGAGUGUCGUGGUUGAAACAUGUGGCUGUACUCUUUCUUGUGGCGGCGAUCGCGUUUAGAACGCACAGCCGUUUGGACUCUAAUCAAAGCUUGUAUGCUAUGCAGCAUCGUAGCCGCGCGUUUCCUUACCAAGUAUCCUCUCACUAAAGCUUGCAGCUUCACUAUACCUUUCAAAGCUCGUAAUGCUUUCCUCGCCUUACCAUUAAAAUAAAAUUUCAUAUAAACAAUUAUUUCUAUUUAAAGAUUCGAACGUUAAUAAAUCUUUGGAAAUAAACGUUUUGAAGAUGUGGAAAUUUACCAAAGAGCCCCUAAAGACCUUUUGGAUUUUCAUAGCGGCCCAACGUUCCUCCCACGUCAUGAUAUCUCCUGCUCUUCCUUCACCGGUCAGUCUAACCAUUUCCGCAGCUGCUUUAGCCCCAGAAACCACUGCUUCUGCGGCUGUAGCUGCUGCGGUUGCAACAGCAAUCGCGUUCUUGUUUUGUUCCUUCUCUUUAUCGGAACCAUCGCCGGAAACGAGUCUCUUCUUUGUGCUAAACAAUCCUUUAAACCAUCUCACUGCUCCGCCCAUCUCGAUGUGAUAGAACCUAAAACAACUUUAUUUCUUGUAACCUGUGAUGUGAUGAUUUAGAAAGAUUUUCUAAGAAUGAGAUAACUUCGCGAACACCCAAAACGAACGUUUUGUAUGGAGAGAAGAAAACAAAAUUUCAUCGUAUUGAUUUAAAAAUAUAUAUACUCUUAAAGCUUUUAUUUUAAUCUUGUUGGAAUUCCAGCAUGUCUCUGAUGAUAGUUAUUUCCUCACAAGUAUACAAAGCAUCCCACUAUAGAAUAUUGACAUGAACAUAGCUAAAAGAACAGUUCAAAAAAAAAAAAAACAUAGCUAAAAGAAGAUCGUAUUACUAUGGAUAAGAUCUUUACAUAUAAAAAAAAUGGUUAGAAGCUGUAAAAUAAUAUUUUUUCUUACUCAUGUAAACCUAUAAUUUGAAAUAUACUUACAUAAAUUAUAAAGUAAAAAUUCAAAUUUAUAAAAAAAAUUAGGAGAAUAUUUAUGCUCAUUUUUCACAGCCUGUAGAAUUUGAGUAGUGAAUAAAUAACGGAUGGCCUCAAACUACUGUUUUGCAGAAAAGGAAGGUUAAAGAAAAGGAUCUGACACAGCCUCGUGAAAAUAUAAAAGUGAAUUACAAGACAAAAGAAAAUGAUGUCAUGGAGAGACAAAACAAAUUCUUUGUAAUCAUUUUCAUAUUCGAGAAACAAACAAGUUCUUAUUUGUCUUCCGUUAUGAAAAUCAUAUACGGAUCGAGGAACGCAUUAUGAAAUCAAACGCAAUGGGGAAAUGAUAUGCAAGCAAAGAAUAAAACAUAAAUAUCAACUUUUACUAGCGAUUUAAUAAGUACAAAGUAGAACUCACCUUCAAAGGAUAUAGUAGUUUCUUUGCCUCCAACAAAAUUGCUCAGACAAUAAAAAAUUGUUCUGGCCUUUAUGUAAUGGAGCAACAAGCUAAAGUCAUCACAUUUAUUCUAAUUCCAGUAAUUAAGUAUUUCCUUCUUUAACUCCGAUUUUUAAAAAAAAAAAUUAAAAGUGCUAGUUAAGAUAGUAAUAUAUUUUCCUUCUUUAUGGUUAAACACAGUUAAUGCCACUGAUUGAUCGGUUUAAACAGGGUAAUGGACCGUUUUGUACUUUUAAAAUUAUUCAGUAGUCAAUCACAUUCAGUUUUUUUCACUAUAAAUUCAAUAAUUAAUUACAUAAAUUCACAGUAUAGAAAAAACAGUCAACAUUCAGAUAAAUAUCUAUUAAAAUUAAAAUGUAUUGAAAUAAAUUUAUUAUUUCCUAAUUAUCUAUGACUGGACCAGUUGCACUAAGAGAAGCCUUUCACCAGCUUGUCUCAUUGGGAAAUUACAACUGAGCUCAAUUUCUAGUAGCGUAUGGUCCAAUUAGUGAUUGUAGGUGAUACUAGAUGCCUCAGUUUGUAAGUGUGGUUGAAACCUUAGUGGUGUUAAUCAUGUUCUCCCAUGGUGGUUAAAUGAAAAGUUGAUUAUGAGUUAAAAAAGAAAAGAAAAAAAAAGCCUUUCACCUCAUUUUCCUCAGAAUUUUGACGUCUUCUUGACGAUUGGUCAUUGGACAUAUUGUAGAAUUUGAAGUAUUUCGUUAGAAUAAAACUUAUUUUUUGCGUACCAAAAAAUAUAAUUUUUUUUCUUCUAAAAAACACGCAUGGUGCUAGCACUGAAGUCUUCAUUUCUAUAGAAUUCGGUUUUACUUAUUCUUAAUAUGCAAAUGAAUGAGUUAAGAUGGCUUAAUCUUAAUCAGAAUACACUAAUCUUUUGUUCCUAAAACGUUGAGGAAAACAUAAUAAGCCAUCAUAUCAAUGUAGUAUACUUGACCAGACAUUAGAAUGAACAUAUUUUGGAGCAAAAAGAAAAAGUAGGCAGUGAGUGUCGCCUAUUGCUGCUUUGAAUAGUUUGGCAAGUCUCUCAACGAAAAAGACUCUUCACUGCAUUCAAUCUGUCUAGUUUUAUACAUAGAAAUUGCCCUUUAUUUUGUAUCUCUACACUCCAAGAAAUGAUAGAAAUACAGAAGUAAUAGUAUUUGAGAUCAACAUGCAUGCAUGCAAGUAUGCAACAAACCGAUCUUAAAAUCUUUAUUACUCUCAUCAAACAUUCUCGUUGGCCAAAACAAAUAUGUUAAGAUGAGAAAAGAAACUGGUUAAAGAAAUCUCUCCUUACAACUCAUUUAAAGAAAAGCUGUUAUAUAUUUAAAAACCUUUCACUGCAGAGUUAAUAAAAGCUACAGAGCUUUUGCCUAUUGCAGAGAAGAAAGAUUGUUUCGUUUCUUCUUUUCAAAAAAGACGCUAUGCAGAAGUAGAGAGGUUCAAUAUUUAAUAAAAUUGUAGUUUUAAAUGUGUUCAUUAAGUGUGACUAAUCAUGAUGCAAAGCUUUUAACAGAAGAGACUAUAACGACUAAAAGAAUCUGUAACAUACUCAAGAACCUAAAUCAUCUUUUUCAUUGUCUGAACUUGAUUGAUAACUCACUUAGUAUGAAAUUCUCAAAAUUCAAAAGAUGUACAUCAGACUUGAAUUAUAAUUAUAAACUUUCCAAAGACUAAAACUCAUCAGAGUUGAAAAGGCAAAAGCAAAACAUAGUAACAUCUCUACUUUAAGCUGUAAAAGUUUUUUUUCUUCAGCUCCUCAUCUUCUCUUGCUUACCAUUUCCAUCUGCAAAAUUCAAAUAUUUUCUUUUAUAAUCUCACAUAAAGAGUCAUAAGACAAGAAGAAUGUUUUCAAUUCGGAAUAUCAAACUUACAUGUUAAGGCUGAAGAGAUCUCAGAGGUUUUAAUCACACGAAGCCUCUUUACCGAAGAUACAAACAUACUGAAAAUUAAAAGGCAAAAAAAAAAAAUCAAUUUCUUUGAUAUCAAAAGUCACAAAGAAACAAACUUUUAAAGAUUCUUACUGCCAUGGGAUAUCUCCCGCAAGCAUCUUGUCUCCUUCAAUGUCCUCAUAAGUAAGAGUAUAUUCUCCAUUCCCAUCCAAUAAUCCAGUGUUGGUUUCUCUUCUUCUCCAAAUAAUCCAGGGAUUACAUAUUUGAAGAAGUUUUAUUUAAUUUUAUGAUAAGUCCAAAAUACACAAGGAAUAUGAAAAUAUAAAAUUUAUCCUAACAGGAAGUUUGAUAUUAAAUUCUAAACACUUUUACAUCUAAAAAUAAAACCAUUGUGAUAUUUCUUCUGAUAGAAACAAACGAAAACGUAGCGUGAAAAAUUGAAACUGUUGAUCAAAUUUUCUUACAGUUCAGCAUCGGCAUGAUCAUAAUUAUACUCGUUUCUUCAUGUGGCGGCGAUAGUACUAGUCCCACAGGAUUACCUGCCGAGACAAUCGACCAAACUCAGCAGUCUCAACAAGACAUUGAAACUGGACAGAGGAAAGUCCUAGUGUUCAAAGAAAUCGAACAAGAAGAAGAAGGAGGCGGUAAACAAUUUUGUUCAAUUUGUUUGGAAGAGUACGAGGAUGAUCAUGAGAUUAUGCGUUUAAACAAAUGUGGACAUAUUUUUCAUCAUUUUUGCAUGGACUCUUGGCUUGCACGUCACCGGAGCUGUCCAAAUUGUCUUCGUUCUGUUGAUCUGAAUUCUUGAGUUUUUUGGUCUUCAUAUUAUAAUCAUUUUAGUAAUUUACUAGGUAAUAUUAUAAGUUUUGUGACUCAUUGAAUCGUGACAAAAAAAAGUUAUGAAGAGUAGAUUGUCAAUAUUUUAUACUAAUCAAAGUUUUGGUCAAAGGUUUCACAAUCGAACUCAAGUUGACUUUGAAGCUAUGUUUGUUUUAUUAGGACAUAAAUACUCUUUUAUUAUUGGUCUACUUUCCACCGGUUCAAGCUUUUUUCCUUGUGCAAUACUUUUAUGGAUAUUGAGACUUGAGAGUGGUGAUCGAAUGCAAUACUUUUACAUCCGCAACAACUUCAAGCUUAGAUAGAUUGAUGGGAUGCCACCACCAUUGAUGCUUUGCUUUAUUAUAUGCGUUUUUAAUGACCGUGUGUGGUGGAUGAGAAGUCACAGGCCCCUCGAAGGGAUAACAUAUAACGUUGUUUUGUUUCCUAAUCAGAGGAUAUAUCAUAUGAUAAACAAAAGGUACAUAUUCCAAACAGACCCUAAUAUUUUGAUGGCUUAUUCACAUGUAAAUAUAAAUAUAUAGAUAUCAAACACAUCGAAAGCUAUUAGAUGAAACCAAACUCCACAUUUACGGGUCAUUAGUGCAUCGACAUGGGCAGCAAGCACCUGCUGGAGCCGGUGCACAAACACAACACGCACAAGCAGGACAGAAGCGAAUUGGUGGCGGUGGUGGUACUCGUUGUGCUCCCAGCAGGAGAAGCAUACGCCCUUCAACUGUAAGGAAACAAAAGAUUCACCUUACAGAAAACCACGAAGGAAUUUUAGUUUUUAAAAAUAUAUGCUUACCAUCUAGAUGCGCUCGAGCUGCCUGACAUGGAAGGAUUGGAGACAGGACCAAAGCAAGUACAAGAACAGAGAGGAGGAUGACUGAGCUUGAUCGCUCGGCUGCCAUUGAAAACGUUCUGCUAAAAAAUGAUUAGAAACUUACGAAAAUGAUUUCUGAUUGCAGUUUGAAACCAUUGUAGGUGAUGCUUAUAUAGGCCAAGAACAAAUAAUUGGAGCAAAGUUGGUCAAGAAGUCUAGCAAUAAAAUAAUAUAGAGAGUAAACAAGUAUAUAUGACUAUUGACUAAGUAAGCAACCGAAAAUUCACACUAUCGAGAAUGAAUGAAUGACGGCUCAAUGUAUAUGAUGAGGAGACUUUAGAUCUCUUGUUAAUACGCAAAUCUGAAGAAGUUUAUAAUUUUUUUGAUCAUUCAAUCUGUUUGAGACUGCUGGUAGUGCUCAUUCUUUUCUUCCCAGAAUUUUUGUCUAUGACUAUGAAAUUGUACUGGUAGGAUUUGAUUCUUUAAAGUCUACCAGAACAUUUUGUAAGUGGCUAGUCGUGGUGGUUUCAAUUUAACAAAGUUUUUUAAAUGUUCAAAUGUCUCCUUGAUUAUUAUUUACUAUUUUUUCGCAGAUAAUGUAUUUAAGAUAUUGAUUAAUAGUUUUCGUUAAAAGUUGAAAUCAAACUCCAUAAAACAGUUGACUUUGUUUAUUUUUGACGUCGAUAAAAUUGAAACUAGAUUUUGUAAGGAUACUGAAUCAACAUGGCCAAUAUUACCAAAACGAAUUUGAUCCAGUUGGUUGUGGUUAUGUCCUCCACUCUCUCUCUUUGUUACCUCUUACCCUUUAUUAUCUCAUGACUCUUAUCAAAAAGCGAGGUAAUAAUAAUAAUUACCUUUUUCUUUUUCAAAAAACAAACAUAGCCCAUAUUAUUUAUGUUUCAAAGUUAGUAUGUCUUUGGAAACUAAGAUUAAGCGUUCAUGUAAGUGUGGACAUGUUUUUCAUCGUUUCUGUAUAUAUUCUUGAUUUACACAUGAUCGGAGCGAGAUGUCCAAAUUGUUGUGGUUCAGUUGAUUUGAUGUAGAUUUUGAUCUUUAAAUUAAUUGACAGAUUUUGUUUAUCUACUAAAUGAAUACUUGGGUUGGGCUUGUAUUUUGUCAUUACAAGUGAAACUUUUUGUCAUUACAAAUAAAUAGUUGUGUUACGAAUAGUAAGAGUUAUGUUAGUAGUAUAGUACUAAUGAAGACUUGCGUCUCUUAUUCCUUGUGAAUCUUUUGAAUGAACACUCUAAAGUCACAGCCGUAAACAUAGAGAAACUCAAUUAUCAACCAACAAAAGAAAGAGCUGAUAUUAAAAUUAGAGUGUUAUUAUUUUAUGAGAAAAUUACUAGAAUGUUACACAUUUUAUGGUUUAUUACUAGAAUGUUGUAUAUCUUUGUUUUAUUACUAGAAUGUUUUCUCUUUCCUAGUAAUUUACAAUAAGGGGCUUUUGUUAUGUUUUAUUUUCUGAAACUAAUUUUAAAGAUCAAAGCCACAUCAGUUAUUUAAAAUCCACAUCACAUCAGUUAUUUUUUGAAACCAAACCGUCUCUAUCACUAUCACUAUCACUAUCAUACAUACGGUUUUGUAAAAAAAAAAAAGAAAAGAACACGAAGAACUGUGUUGUGUCGAAGAAGGAACCGCAAACCGAAAUCGUCUCACCCUUCGAAACCCUCGUCGACAUUGUUCUUUACUUCUUCGAACUCUCUCUAACUCUCUGUCGUUGAACUCUCUAUAACUCUCUGUCGUUGAACUUUGUCUCGUCGGAGUUUUUAGAAACCGUCGUCUGUACGAAAUCGCCUUCACCGCAUUCUCAUCAACGAGUUCAUCUUUUCCGGUAAGAUGUCGCGACGUUAUAUAUUGUAUUUUGGUUGAGUUUGUGGGUCAGUUAUAUAUUGAGGCUGUGAUAUGGGUGUGUCGAGGUUUUUGUUGCGACUGAGUUAGGGUUAUGUUGACUGUGCUAUGGGUUUGUCGAGGAUUUUGUUGUGUCUGAGUUAGGGUUAUGUUGCGGCUGAGAUAUGUGAUUGUCUAGGCUUUUGUUGUGUCUGAAUUAGGGCUUUUUGUUGUGGCUGAGUUAUGGUUAUGUUAUAACUGAGUAAUUAUUAUGUUAUGGCUGAGUUAUGGUUAUGUUAUAACUGAGUAAUUAUUAUGUUAUGGCUGAGUUAUGUAUAUGACCUAAUAUAUUUUAAUAUUAUGAUAUGGCUGUGUUAUUUUUAUGUUGUGGCUGAUUUAUUGUUGUGUUAUAUGAUCAGAUGGAUGUUAGUCAAGUCGAACCACGUGAUUACCCUCCAAGACUUUACCCUUCUAACCUAGAAGGUAAAGAUAUCAAUCAUAAUUUCCGUGCAGGACAUUUCCCCCACAUUAAAGAAACAAUAGGACUCGAUGUGUGGGAAGAACUGGUGAACUCUCUCAUUGGAGUAGUUGCUAGGCUACUUUCACGCGAAAGCAUUUGGUCUGGUAGGACCGUACACUAUCUGCUAUGUAGACAGCUGCGAGUGCAUAAAAAGGAGAUAUGGUCUGUUGUGGCUGAUGAUGUUAUCAGGUUUAGCUUGCUCGAGUUUGGUGAGAUCACUGGGUUAAACACAGGUCCAUUGCCAACAGAAAGUUUUGAACCUGAUCAAUACAAAGAGUUUU
rnacentral:lncRNA from 1 species